rnacentral:lncRNA from 1 species
AUCACCAUCCCUUCUUCCUCCUCCAUCACGGUCUCUGUGAUGGGUUGUAACAACUCUUGAACCCCCUUUUUAUGUGAUGUUAUUUGAGUAAUUGAUGGCUAUGGGUCAGUCGAUUAGUAAGUGGUUAUUUGAUAUGUGUUGUCUAAUUAUGUGUGUUGCUUUGUGUUUUCUAUUUACCUUCAGUAAUUUUGUGAUGGGAUAUGUCCUAUCCAUUGGCAUAAAUGGAGACAUCCAACUCCCCAAGCCACAUAUGAAGUAUAUAGGUGGUUGUGGAAACCAAGGGACCUGCGAUCUGAUAGGUGCAGAUAUCUUGAGGGGAACACGAUUAUUCUAGGAGCACGGUGGUCCAUAGAACCUAAUGCCUCGUCCGGUCUUCAAACCACGAGGACCUUAAUAUCUUUGUGUUAGCCGCCUCAGGUAUGGGACAUGAAGUAGGAUGAAUGAGUUAUCUCAAUAUAGCUCGUCUCGAGAGAUAAUGUUAUGUGAGGGACUGUCCACGAGAAGUAGACCAUAAUAUGCUAUGAUGGAGGUACUAACUUAGUCACAACGUGACAUAGUUGUAAUACCCUAACUCCAUUCACUACAAAAAAACACUUCUGUGAUGAUACAUGUUGUAGGAUCGAAAGUAUGUCUAGAGGGGGGUGAUUAGAGUACUUGACCAAAUAAAAAUCUAGCCUUUUCCCAAUUUUAGUUCUUGGCAGAUUUUAACAACUUAGCACAAGUCAAGCAAUCAACCUACACAUGCAAUUCUAAGAGUAUAGCAGCGGAAUGUAAAACAAUUGCAUAUGAAGGUAAAGGGAGGAGUUUGAGGGAGCAAACGCAAUGUUGACACGGAGAUUUUUUAUCCGUGGUUCCGAUAGGUGGUGCUAUCGUACAUCCACGUUGAUGGAGACUUCAACCCACGAAGGGUAACGGUUGCGCGAGUCCACGGAGGGCUCCACCCACGAAGGGUCCACGAAGAAGCAACCUUGUCUAUCCCACCAUGUCGUCGCCCACGAAGGACUUGCCUCACUAUGGUAGAUCUUCACGAAGUAGGCGAUCUCCUUGCCCUUACAAACUCCUUGGUUCAACUCCACAAUCUUGUCGGAGGCUCCCAAGUGACACCUAGCCAAUCUAGGAGACACCACUCUCCAAGAAGUAACAAAUGGUGUGUUGAUGAUGAACUCCUUGCUCUUGUGCUUCAAAUGAUAGUCUCCCCAACACUCAAUUCUCUCUCAUAGGAUUGGAUUUGGUAGAAAGAAGAUUUGAGUGGAAAGCAACUUGGGGAAGGCUAGAGAUAAAUAUUUAUGUGGUUGGAAUGGAAUAUCUUGACCUCAACACAAGUGUAGGUGGUUCUCUCUCAGAAAAUAUGUAUUGGAAGUGUAGGCAUGUUCUGAUGGCUCUCUCCACGAAUGAAGAGUGGGUGGAGGGGUAUAUAUAGCCUCCACACAAAAUCUAACCAUUAGACACAAAUCACCAAACUCGGUGGGACCGAAUCAGAGAACUCGGUCAGACCGAAUUGGUUCAUAAUGUGACCGUUAGGUGUUUCGGUGGGACCGACAUGUCAACUCGGUGGGACCGAUAUCAUUAGGGUUAGGGCAUAACGUAAUCUCGGUGAGACCGAUUACACAAACUCAGUGGGACCGAUUUUGGUAAUAGUCAAACAGAGAGUUGGUCAGGCAAACUCGGUGGGACCGAUUCGCUCAUCUCGGUUGGACCUAAACGUUACAAAAAGGAAACAGAGUGUUUGCAUUGCAAUCUCGGUGGGACCUAUCGCUCAUCUCGGUUUGACCGAAACGUUACGAAGGGAAACAGAGAGAUUACAAUCCCAUCUCGGUGAGACCGAGAUCCCUAUCGGUGAGACCGAAAAGACUAGGGUUUCUGGCAGUGGCUAUGUCAACUGAACUCGGUGGCGCCGGAUAGAAAGAAUCGGUGGGGCCGAGUUGGACUUGUGGUUUGGGACAUAUGUGGAUAUGAGAAAGUAGUGGAGGGUUUUGGAGCAUAUCACUAAGCAUUUUGAGCAAGGACCUCAUUAGGCAACACAUCAUCCCUUCUUAAUAGUAUUGGCUUUUCCUAUAGACUCAAUGUGAUCUUGGAUCACUAAAAUAGAAAAUGUAGAGUCUUGUGCUUUGAGCUUGAGCCAAUCUUUUGUCCUUAGCAUUUUGAAGGGUCCACUUUCUAAUCCAUGCCAUGCCAAUCAUUGAGCUUUCCUGAAAUAUCUAUCUUGAAAUAGCAUUAGCUCAAUGAGCUAUAUGUUGUUAGGAAUUACCAAAACCACCCAGGCAUAGUUGCACUUUCACGUGCUUGUCACAGUAGGUCACAAUUUCUGUCAUGCAUGUACAUCCAUGACGAUUUUAUGACAGAAUCAAGAUAGUCAUACAUGUGUUGUCGUAGAAGUGUUCCAUGACAAAACUCAAAUUAUCAUCACGGAAGUGUCCACUUCCAUGACGAUAAAUAGCACGUCAUGGAAGUGCUUUCGUCAAGGGUAACCAACAUGUGGCAUCCACCAGAAUGGGUUGCCAUUAUGCUAUCGGGUCUGGUUUUGGAUCCGAUAACCCAUUAACAGCUACAACCAAUGUCGAUUUUCCACGUGUAAACUUCUCAUUGGCCGAACGAACCAUGUGUCAGCUCCGCGUUGGGACAGAUGUCAACUGUCCAAUGGACAGGAGGCGCCUAUAAUACGUUGACACAUGGCACGGCCCAACAGUGGCCCAUUUAUGUUAAAAAGGUCGUCUCGUUUGACUUGGUCAAAAUCUAGCGGGCCGACCCAUGGAAAGCUUGUUAGCAGCAUGUUCGCAUAUAGCCCAUUUACAGUUUGCUAAAUCACGACCCGUUCUGGCCUUUCCGAAAUCAGCCCAGCAGCUCAUGUGGGCCAUCCAAUAUAAUUCCAGCUCGUUGUAAAUUCUGGCCCAUGGAUGGCCCAUGACGUCUUUAGGCCCAUAUGAGGCCCUUUAACGGCCCAUGGUGAAACUGGCCCAUAAUGAACAGUGUAUCACUUUAUACCCAUUAACGACCCAUUUUUUAGUUGGGCCGUUUCCAGCCUUUGUUAUCUUUUAGCCUUCUAAGGGCCCAUUUAUUCUUGGGCUCAUUUCCAGCUCUCGAUUACUUACGGUCCGUUACUAGCCUGUUCCGCUAAUGGGCCAAAUUCAACCCGUGGUUACAGUCGAUCCGUUUGUGGCCCGUUAAACCAUUGGGCCGUUUUCAUCACGUCAUCUAUUCUCGCCCAUUAAUGACCCAUUAUGCAUGUUGAUAGAAUUAAGCUCGCGAUACAUACCGUCGUUUUAACGGCCCGUUAUGGUCGGGCCCAUAAACGGAAUAUUCCCAUUUUAGCCCGUUUAAGGCCCAUAUUGCGGUUUGUUAUUGGUCCACGAAUAGUACGACCCAUGUUUAACCUAUCGAUCAUAUGGGCCAUAGAAGGCCCAUGAAUUCGACAGCCCAUAGAAGGCUGAUACGUCUCCAACGUAUCUAUAAUUUUUGAUUGUUCCAUGCUAUUAUAUUAUCAUUCUUGGAUGUUUUACAACCAUUUUAUAGCAACUUUAUAUCAUUUUUUGGGACUAACCUAUUGACAUAGUGCCCAAUGCCAGUUGUUGUUUUUUGCUUGUUUUUUACUUCGUAGGAAAUCAAAAUCAAACGGAGUCCAAAUGCAAUGAAACUUUUUGGAGAAUUUUGAUGGACCAGAACACCCAGGAUGGGCAAGAGAAGUACCAGAGGGGUGCCCCGAGGGGGGCACUGGUGGGUUGUGCCCACCUCGGUGGCCUCCCGCACCGCCUCUUCGCCCUAUUAAUUGUCAAUUAUUCCAAAAGCCUUGGGGGUAACCCUAGAUCAGAAGUUCCGCUGCCGCAAGCCUCUGUAGCCACGAAAAACCAAUCUAGACCCUGUUCCGGCACUCCGCCGGAGGGGGAAAUCAUCACCGGUGGCCAUCUUCAUCAUCCCGGCGGCCACCAUGAUGAGGAGGGAGUAGUCCAUCCUCGGGGCUGAGGGUUUGUACUAGUAGCUAUGUGUUUAAUCUCUCUAUCUCUCUCGUGUUCUUGAGAUGUCACGAUCUUGAUGUAUCGCGGGCUUUGUUAAUAUAGUUGGAUCAUAUGGUGUUUUCCCCUCUCUAUCUUGUUGUGAAUUGAGUUUUCCCUUUGAGAUUUCGUUUUAUCGGAUUGAAUACUUUUAUGGAUUUGAGAACACUUGAUGUAUGUCUUGCUAUGAAUACUCGUGGUGACAAUGGGGUAUCAUAUUGAUUUACUUGAUAUGUGUUUGGCACUCAACUCACGGAUUCCGGAGGUGACAUUGGGGUAAUCUAUGCAUAGGGGUUGAUGCACGUUCUCGUCUUUGUUUCUCCGGUAGAAAUCUUGGGGCACUCUUUGAAGUUCUUUGUGUUGGAUUGAGUAUUAUGAAUCUGAAAUUGUUUGAUGCGUAUCGUAUAAUUAACUCGUGGAUACUUGUGGUGACAUUGGAGUAUCUAGGUGACAUUAGAGUUGGCUGAUGCGUAUCAUAUGGUGUUAUUUUAGUACGAACUCUUGGAUAGAUCAAAUUGAAAGAAUAACUUUGUGUUAUUUUAGUACGAACUCUUGAAUAGAUCGAACGAAAAGAAUAACUUUAAGGUGGUUUCGUACCCUACAAACAAUUUCUUCUUAUGUUCUCCGCUAGAUAAGAACUUUGGAGUGAUUCUUCAACGCACGUUGAGGGAUGGUUAUAUGAUCCAAUGAUCCAAUUAGAUUAGCAUUGUUGAGAGAUUGCACUAGCGAAAGUACGGACCCUAGGCAUCUUUUUCAAUCAUUGCAAUACCGUUUGAGCUCACUUUUGUUACUUGCUACCUUGCUGUUUUUUAUUGUUACUAUUACAAAAAUCAAUAUCUACUAUCGUUACUACACGUUUAUCACCAUCUCUUCGCCGAACUAGUGCACCUAUACAAUUUGCCAUUAUAGUUGGUGUUUUGGGGACACAAGAGACUUUCUAUUAUUUAGUUGCAGGGUUGUUUGAGAGAGACCAUCUUCAUCCUACGCCUCCCACGUAUUGAUAAACCUUAGGUCAUCCACUUGAGGGAAAAUUGCUAUUGUCCUACAAAACUCUGCGCUUGGAGGCCCAACACGAGUCUACAAGAAUAAAGUUGCGUAGUAGACAUCAAGCUCUUUUCUGGCGGCGUUGCCGGGGAGGUGAGUGCAUGAAGGUAUAUCUUUAGAUCUUGUAAUCGAAUCUUUUAGCUUCUUGUUUUAUCACUAGUUUGGUUUAUAAAAGAAAACUACAAAAAUGGAAUUGAGGUUGCAUCAUAUAUUCAUCUUUAUAAUGUCUUCCGUGAAAAUGAUGGAAAGGAAAAUUGUGCUGAAUUGAUAGAAGAAGAAUUCUAUAAAAUGUUUGACAAAGCAUCUUCGAAUGAUGAGCAUGAUUGCAAUGUUGCUAGUAUAAAUUCUUUGAAUAUCCAUGAUUCUAGUGAUAUGCAAAGCCAUAAGCUUGGGGAUGCUAUGUUUGAUGAAGAUGAUAUUUUUAUUCCACCAAGUUUUGAUGUGCAAAUUUCUUAUAAUGGUAGCAUGACUCCUAUUUAUGAUGAUUACAAUGAUGAAUGUGGGUUUGGAAGAGUGUCAACUCUAGGUAAUGAUCCCACUAUUUUUGAGGGUGUUGAAUCUUUUCACAGUAUUGAUGGAAGUGGAUUUGGAGAGAUCAUGACUUUAUUUAGUGGUGAAUCCACUAUUUUGGAAGAGGUUUCAAUUGACUAUGAGAACAAAGCUGCUAUAUAUGAUGAUUACGGUGAUGACAUGUAUGCUAUAAAUAAUAAUGAUAACCGUGAAACUUGUCAUCAUAAUUUUAAUUCUCAAUAUGAUUAUGCCAAUCAAGUAUCACAUGAUAGUUAUUUUGUUGAGUUUGCUCCCACUAUUAUGAAUCAUAAUAAAUUUGCUUAUGUGGGGAGUAACAAAAUUUCUAUGCUUAUGUAUCAUGAAAAGAAUGCUUUAUGUGAUGGCUAUAUUGUUGAAUUCAUUCAUGAUGCUACUGAAAAUUAUUAUGAGGGAGGAACUUAUGCUUGUAGUAAUUGCAAUAAUAUCAAGUUUCCUCUCUAUGUGUUGAAAAUCUUGAAGUUUUGCUUGUUUUGCCUUCCUAUGCUAGUUGAUUCUUAUUCCCAUAAAUUGUUUGCUCACAAAAUCCCUAUGCAUAGGAAGUGGGUUAGACUUAAAUGUGCUCACCAUGUGAUUCAUGAUGCUCUUGUUAUGUUUCAAUUCUUAUCUUUUAUGUGAGCAUCAUUGAAAGCAUCAUGCCUAGCUAAAAGGCAUUAAAGAAAACCGCUUGUUGGGAGACAACCCAACACUUUUACCUACUGUUUUUGUGUGUUCACAUGAUUAUUCUACUAUAUUAAUCAUGUUUUAUAGCUUUUGUUUCAACAAAGUGCUAAGUAAAGCAUUUGGGAUAGUGUGGAUGAUAGUUGACUUGAAUCUGUGCAAAAACAGAAACUUUUGCUCUCAGUCCAGGAAUUUUCAAAAUUCACUGGAACGAUAUGAAUUUUUUACAGGUGAUAGAUAUACAAAUUCCCUACGUUGUCCUAAAUUUUCAGAAUUAUUGGAGUAGCAGAAGUAUGGUUGUUUUCCAGAUCGUUACAAAUUGUUCUAUUUUUGACAGAUUCAGUUUUCAAUGCAUAGUUUGCUUGUUUCCUAGUUUCUAUGGCUUAUAUUGCUCAAUAUAAGUUGUGGAAAUGAUAAGGUACAGUAGGCACUGUGUGAGAACAAUUAGGAAUCUUGUCUUUGAUAGUACCAAAGUGGAUGAUUUGUCUUUAUCAUACUAACCUAUCUCACAAAGUUUUGUUAAGUUUUGUGUGAUUGAAGUUUUUCAAGUUUUGGGUGAGAUAUCAAUAUGAGGAGAAUAAGGAGUGACAAGACCCUAAGCUUGGGGAUUCCCAAGGUACCCCCAAGGUAAUAUUCUAGGAAUAUCCAAGCAACUAAGCUUGGGGAUGCCCCGGAAGGCAUCCCCUCUUUCGUCUCCAAUAUUAUCGGUAAUCUUACUCGGGCUAUAUUUUCAUUCGUCACAUGAUAUGAUUUUUGCUUGGAGCGUCAUUUUAUUUUGUUUUGAUUUGCUUGCUGAUAUCUAUAAUAGUGUUUUGCAUCUUCUACUUCAAUAAAAAUAUCAAGUAUAGCAUGUGCCAUGCCUAUUUUGCAAGUAUAUGAGUUGCUGUUUCAAAGCAAAAAGUUUAUUGAUGUUGCAAAAAUUCUCUAGAAAAGUCAGAAUGUGAUAAAAUGUUGAAAUUUUUUGCACAAUAAGCUAUGAUAAGUUUUCUACAGUGUGCUAAUGUUUCAAAAAAAUUGAGUUAGGGAAGUAUGGAUCCUCUUGCAUCCUUUACAGACUGUCCUGUUUAGACAGAUUGUUGCUAUGUUUGCAUAUGUUUGCUUGUUUAAUGAUUCUAUUUGAGGAUAGGAGUAUUAAAUAUGCAGAGGCAUUUAGUAGGCAAUGUUGAAUAAUAAUUUUAGUGAUCUGCUACAGUAGAGAAUGAUAAGGUUUUGCAUUGAUUAAUACUAACUUAUCUCACUAGUUCUUGUUGAGUUUUGUGUGGAUGAAGUUUUUGAGAUUUAGGGAAAUCGUGAUAUGAGAGGAAUUAAGGAGACACAAAAGCUCAAGCUUGGGGAUGCCCAAGGCAUCCCAAAUUAACAUUUAAAGAAGUCUCAAGCAUCUAAGCUUGGGGAUUCCCCGGUAGGCAUCCCACCUUUCUUCUUCAACAAUUAUCGGUUAGUAUCGGUUGAGCAUAAGUUUUUGCUUCUUCGCAUGAGUUGUGCUAUUCUUGGAAUGUCAUUUUGUUUUGUUUUGCUUUCUGUUUUAAUAAAAUACUUAGAUCUGAAAGUUUUUAAAUAAGAGAGAGUCCUCAAAUAGCUACCCAUUUACAUAACUACUCGCUUGAUCUUCACUUAUUUCUUUUUGGAGUAGUUUGUCAUUUACUCUCAUGCUUCACUUAGAUUAUUUUGAGAGUUGAAAAUUUUGAAGAAAUACUUAUGCUCUUGUGCUUCACUUAAAUUUAUUUGAGAGCUUGUUAGUAGCAAUGGUAAUAUAUAAAUUUAGUCCCAAAGUGAUAGAUAUUCAAGAGGGAUAUAAUAAAAACUUUCAUGUAGAUCAUUGGAUAUGAUAAGUUUGAUUCCUUGCAAUAGUUUGCGAUAUGGAGAUAAUAAUAUGUGAGUCAUGUUGGUGAGUAAUUAUGCUUUAGUAAGAAUAUUGGUGUUAAGGUUUGUGAUUCCCUAUGCAAGCACGAAAGUCAAUAGUUAUGCAAUGAAAUUGCAUCCUACUUGUGGUGCGUUAUUCGGUGUUAGUUAUGCUUAAUGCUCGCUUAUGUGAUUUUUCAUUUCUCAGUUGGUUUCUUCUCAAACUUUUUGCUAGCAUCUACUUGUACUAAGUAGAAAUACCACUUGUGCAUCCAAAAUCCUUAAACCCAGGUUUGCCAUAUGAGUCCAUCAUACCUACCUAUAUGCGGUAUUUCUGUGCCAUUCUAAGCAAAUUUGUAUGUGCCAUCUCUAAUUUUCAAAAUAAUUUCCUUUUUGUGUGCUCGUAUCGCUCAUGAAGCAGUAGGGGGUGGCCAAUAUUUUCCAUGCUAGAUGUGUUAUUCUCAAGAUGAGUGUUUAUUCACUUGUCGUUGCACGAGAGUACGGCAAAGGUAUUAGGGAUGCCCAGUCCCGGAAUGAAAAAUGAAUUUACUUUAUGUUGUCAAAUAAUAAAUUCCUUGGGAAGUGUUGGUAUGGACGGCACCCAUGGAUUCGGUUAGCCGUGGGAUGUGAAAGUAUGGUGAAAAAAGUAAUAAACUUUAUUUUUUGUUUGGGAACCGCCUAUGAUAUAUCUAGCAUGAAAGUAUUAGAAACUACUCGAUCGUUUUCGUUGACAGGAAAGGCAUGCCACCCAAAAAAAAUUAUCUCUCAAUUUCCUCUUUGAGAUUUGGCACCUCUACAAAUCCCUACUUCCCUCUGCGAAGGGCCUCUCUAUUUACUUUAUGCAAUUUUUUUUAUUUGAGUCUCCAUUUUCUCUCAUAAAGGACCAACUAAGGGGCACUAUGAUCGUACUUGAGCAUUGGGUGUAGCUAAUAUGUGAGUAUGUUUCAUGAAUGGAUCAAUGAUUGAGCAUAAUGGGCUAGGGAUAGCUUGCUUUAGUGUUGAUAUUUUGAAAGACAUGGUUUCUUGUUGAUAUGCUUGAGUGUUGAAAUCUUCAUGUCAAAACUAGACUAUUGCUUUGAACCAUAUAAAAGUCCAAAUGUCCAUGCUACAAAAGAAAAGAAUAUGUGAUGAACAUGUUAGGCAGCAUUCCACAUCAAAAAUUCUAUUUUUAUCAUUUACCUGCUCGAGGACGAGCAGGAAUUAAGCUUGGGGAUGCUAAUACGUCUCCAACGUAUCUAUAAGUUUUGAUUCUUCCAUGAUGUUAUAUCAUCAUUCUUGGAUGUUUUACAAUCAUUUUAUAGCAACUUUAUAUCAUUUUUUGGGACUAACCUAUUGACAAAGUGCCAAGCGCCUGUUGUUGUUUUUUGCUUGUUUUUUACUUUGUAGGAAAUCAAUAUCAAACGAAGUCCAAACGCAACAAAACUUUUUAGAGAAUUUUUAUGGACCAGAACACCCAGGAUGGGCCAGAGAAGUACCAGAGGGGUGCCCUGAUACGUCCAUUUUGCAUCAUGUUUUAUUGCUGUUAUUUAUAAUGUUUUUAUCCAUAAUAAUGCUUUUUAGAGUAAUUCUAAUGCCUUUUCUCUCACAAUUUGCAAGGAACACACUAAGAGGGAGAAUUCCGGCAGGUGGAAAUCUGGACCUGGAAAAGCUACGUCAGGUCACCUAUUCUGCACAACUCCAAAUGAGCUGAAACUCCACAAGGAAUUUUUAUGGAAUGUUUAAGAAAUAAUGGAGCCAAUAAACACCAGAGGGGGGCCACCAGGUGGGCACAACCCACCUGGGCGCGACAGGCCCCCCUGGCGCGCCCUAGUGGGUUGUGGCCUCCUCGGCCCACCUCCGGUGCCCAUCUUCUAGUAUAUAAGUGAUUUUGACCUAAAAAAAUCACGGGAAGGCUUUCGGGACGAAGCACCGCCGUCUCGAGGCGGAACUUGGGCAGGAACACUUUUGCCCUCCGGCAGAGCGAUUCUGUCGGGGGAACUUCCCUCCCGGAGGGGGAAAUCAUUGUCAUCAUCAUCAACAACAACUCUCCCUUCUUGGGGAGGGCAAUCUCCAUCAACAUCUUCACCAACACCAUCUCAUCUCAAACCCUAGUUCAUCUCUUGUAUUCGAUCUUGUUACCGGAACUAUAGAUUGUUGCUAGGGGGUGGCUAGUAGUGUUGAUUACAUCUUGUAGUUGAUUACUAUAUGGUUUAUUUGGUGGAAUAUUAUAUGUUCAGAUCCAUUAUGCAUAUUAAUACCCCUCUGAUCAUGAGGAUGUUCAUUUUUUGUGAGUAGUUACCUUUGUUCUUGAGGUCACGAGAUAAAUCAUGUUGCAAGUAAUCAUGUGAACUCGAUAUGUGUUCGAUAUUUUGAUAGUAUGUGUGUUGUGAUUCCCUUAGUGGUGUCAUGUGAACGUCGACUACAUGACACUUCACCAUAUUUGGGCCUAAGGGAAUGCAUUGUGGAGUAGUAAAUAGAUGGUGGGUUGCGAGAGUAACAGAAACUUAAACCCCAGUUUAUGCACUAUUCCGUAAGGGACCGAUUGGAUCCUAUAGUUUAAUGCUAUGGUUAGGAUUUAUCCUUAAUACCUUUCUCGUAGUUGCGGAUGCUUGCGGGAGGGUUAAUCAUAAGUAGGAGGUUUGUUCAAGUAAGAACAACACCUAAGCACCGGUCCACCCACAUAUCAAAUUAUCAAAGUAGCGAAUACAAAUCGAACCAACAUGAUGAAAGUGACUAGAUGAAAUUCCCGUCUGCCCUCAAGAACGCUUUGCUUAUCAUAAGAGACCGCUUUGGCCUGUCCUUUUCCUCAAAAGGAUUGGGCUACCUUGCUGCAUACUUGUUACAAUUAUCUUUACUUGCUCGUUACAAAUUAUCUUGCUAUCAAACUACUCGCUACUUACAGUUUCAGCACUUGCAGACAUUACCUUACUGAAAACUACUUGUCAUUUCCUUCUACUCCUCGUUGGGUUCGACACUCUUACUUAUUAAAAAGAGCUACAAUUGAUCCCCUAUACUUGUGGGUCAUCAAGGCUAUUUUCUGGCGCCGUUGCCGGGGAGUGAAGUGCCUUUGGUAAGUGGAAUUCGGUAAGGAAACAUUUAUAUAGUGUUCUGAAAUUUAUUGUCACUUAUCACUAUGGAGAACAAUCCUUUGAGGGGUUUGUUCGGGGUAUCUUCACCUCGUCCGAAACCACAAUUAAUUGCCCCUCAACCUACUGCACCUACUGAAAAUAUUGAAUAUGAAAUUCCUUCGGGUAUGAUAGAACAACUGCUAGCUAAUCCUUAUGCAGGAGAUGGAACUGAACAUCCGGGUAUACACUUGAUACAUGUGGAACAAAUUUGUGGAUUGUUUAAGCUUGCAGGUUUACCCAGGGAUGAAGUGAUAAGAAAGGUUUUCCCUUUAUCUUUGAAGGGAAAAGCAUUGGCAUGGUAUAGGCUAUGCGAUGAUAUUGGAUUAUGGAAUUGGAAUCGUUUGAAAUUGGAGUUCCACCAAAAAAAUUAUCCUAUGCAUCUAGUUCAUCGUGAUUAGAAUUAUAUCUAUCUAUCUAUAUCUAUAUCUAUCUAUCUAUCUAUCUAUCUAUAUCUAUCUAUCUAUCUAUAUCUAUCUAUCUAUCUAUCUAUACCUCUAUAUACCUACCUAUACUAAUUACAGACUCCCCAGAAAUUCGCAUGUUAAUUAGAAAAUACCGACCGUUAAUCUGGUGGGACCGAGUUAUAACGGUGCGGAUCGAAUCAUAUAGUCCUUGCAAUCUAAGAAAAAAAACAACUUAACGCAGCUAUUAAAAAAACAAAUCUAGGGUACCUGUAACGUAAAGAAAACCAAUCAAUCAUACUUCUACUACACGAUCGAUCCUUCCCUAAUUUGCCCUAAAAAAUCCUUCAUACUUCUCCUACACGAUAAAUCCUUCCCCAAUUUGCCCUCAAAAAAAAUUCCUUCCCCAAAGAAUCCUCACGCAAAAUAAUCCUUGGGCAAUAUUUUUCUCCCCGUGGCUCCCAUACUACGAAAAUUGUUGCGGAUGAACAUGAAACUCGAUUUGAUAUCUAGAGGAGGUAGAAAAGGGCAGCGGCAUGAAGAUCCUGACAAGGACCAUGGCGUUGCAAAGGCAAGGGGCGGCCACUGGCUGGCUGCACCUGGCGUGGCUGAACUCCUCGAGUAAAAGAUCGUGCGUUCCUGCUUCUCCUCGCAUGAGGAGGGUCAACGGGGACGAUCUGGCGGAGAGGAUAUCAGAGGAAGGCGAGAUUGCAGAGAGGAUUGAGUAGAAGAUGCUGUUCGUAUUGCUCUUGGUCCUCGCUGCAGGAUGGUAGGAGGAUCCACAAAGGAGGUCGGGGAGGAUUGAAGGAGGGAGGAAGAAAUUGCCUUGGACAUAUGUAUAUGUGUAGGAUCAAAAAUAUAUUUUAUUAGUCUUUUAGUGUAGCAUACAAGAUAAAUGCUAAUAAACAUUAAUUAGAGGGUACACAUCUCAAUGUAUAGUUUUGAUGGAACUUAAAAAACACUUUUUCUGUAUUUUUUAGCUAAGCUGAAAGGAGCCAUUCAAGGUUUCUGCCGAAUAUCAUCAUAUAUUAAUGUGAUUGAGUAGUAGACAGUGGAGUUGGCAAGCAAACAAAGUUUUCAAUCGCAUUAUUAAUAAAAGGAGAAAGAUAGUAUUUUGUGAUGAAAAUAUAUUAAGCAUUUUAGAGCAAGCCAUGUGACCAAAUAAAUUAGGGCCAGAGGAGAUCCAAAUCGCACAUAUACAUAUGAAAAAGUUGAUGAAUAUCAUACUAUUGUUGAAGCACGUGUGCGAUUUCAUGUUAUAACUUAAAUACAUUACGUCAAGUGUGUAUCACUUGAGUAUAAAGAUAUCUUUCAACAUGCACGAAUAGAACGCUUAAGCUAGACAUUGUUGUCAUUGAUCCGUGGAGGCUAGGCAGUAGCACCAUCAACUUAACAAUAACCUAAAUUAGCUCCGUGAGCAGUAGGUCUUUAAUCUGUAGUCUCGAUACAAACACAUCAAGGAAUGUACUACCAUCCUUUCAUGCAUGGAGAUCCAUUUGCAAUGGUAACAUUGAAAUCAAUGUUUGUAUCCAUAGAUUGAUCUUUAAUUUCCUUUUUGUAUUGAGGGUUGAUAUAUAAUUUCACUUUUUUCUAUCAGUGCUUGUGGCAAAAUUGAAGUUCUUUAUGUGUCGACUUCACAUGCGUUGCGUUUUGCUGCAGCACAUGCAUGGCAAGGACACAUGGCUCAUUGAUGCUUAGGGGUCAAAUUAGUAUGUAGUGAUAAAACCCUCAUAUAUAUUUCUACAAGUAGUUGAUACAAGCCUCAAAUCGACCAAAUUAGUAUGUAGUGAUGUCAUCCUUAUAUAUUUUCUACAAGUAGUUGAUACAAGCCUCAAAUCACUAAUUCCCAAUAAAUCUUCUCUCCUUCCAGUCCCUAUAAUCAGUUGCUUCAAAUUUCUAUAGUAUGUAAUGACUUUAACACUGAAAAAACAUAAACACGGCAAAAAUAGAUUAUAAUUAUUUAGUUGAGCACAUAUCGGAUAUGCAAAGAAGCAAGGUUACUGAAAACAAAACAAAAAUAAGCGCCAAAGAGUUGGAAGAAAUAUUUUGAAUCAUAUUUUGUCAUUUAGAAUUGAAUCAAUAAAAAAAGAAAAAAUGGAGACACCCUUCAUGUGCUUGAGUUUGACUUGGAUGGAUGGGUGUUUCACUUUUUUCCUUUCAUGAAAGACAUUAAUUAUGCCAAAAUAUAUGCAUAAAACUUAUUGACUAGCCCGUGCGAAUGCACGGGUUGACGACUAGUAUAUAUAAUUUUUGGCCUCGUGAAGGAGAAAGUAUCGCUCUAGCUUGGGGGAGGCUUAAGUCAAUGCUAUAUUCUUGCCCCAAUCAUGAGCUCUCAAGAGAAAUUAUUAUUCAGAAUUUUUAUGCUCGGCUUUCUCGUAAUGAUCAAACCAUGUUGGAUACUGCUUGUGCUGGUUCUUUUAUGAAGAAGACUAUUGAAUUCCGGUGGGAUCUUUUGGAAAGAAUUAAACACAAGUCUGAAGAUUGGGAACUCGAUGAAGGUAAAGAGUUAGGUAUAAAGCUUAAGUAUGAUUGUGUUAAAUCUUUUAUGGAUACCGAUGCUUUUCAAAAGUUUAGCACUAAAUAUGGACUUGACUCUGAGAUAGUAGCCUCCUUUUGUGAAUCAUUUGCUACUCAUGUUGAACUCCCUAAAGAGAAGUGGCUUAAAUAUCAUCCACCUAUUAAAGAAGAAAUUAAAGAACCGGUACCAGUUAAAGAAGAAACUAUACUCUAUAAUGUUGAUCCAGUUGUUCCUACUGCUUAUAUUGAGAAACAUCCUUUUCCUAUUAGGAUAAAGGAACAUGCUAAAGUUUCAACUGUGGUCAACAAAAGCUCUGUUAGAACACCUAAACCAGAUGAACAAAUUAGAGUUGAACCUAAUAUUGCUAUGGUUAAAGAUCUCUUAAAAGAAUAUGUGGAUGGGCAUGUUAUCUACUUUUGUGCAGAAGCUGCUAGAAUUGCCAAACCCGAAAAAAGGGAUAAAACUAGACCAGUUGUUGGCCUGCCUGUCAUUUCAGUUAAAAUAGAUCACUAUUAUUAUGGUUUAUGUGAUAUGGAUGCUAGUGGAGUGCUAUUCCUCACAAGUUAUAUCAAGAAAUUAGGGAGGACAUAGCACCUGUUGAGAUAGAAGACAUAGAUGUUACUAUUAAACUUGCAAAUAGAGACCCUAUAUCACCAGUAGGGAUUGUUAGAGAUGUUGAAGUCUUGUGUGGGAAAACGAAAUAUCCUACCGAUUUUCUUGUUCUCGGUACCCCACCUGAUGACUUCUGUCCCAUUAUCUUUGGUAGACCUUUCUUGAACACGGUUAAUGCUAGGAUAGAUUGCCAGAAACAAACUGUGGGUGUUAGCUUUGGUGAUGAGUCUCAUGAGUUUAAUUUUUCCAAGUUUAGUAGAAAUCAUCAUGAAAAAGAAUUGCCUAGUAAGGAUGAAUUCAUUGGUCUUGCUUCUAUUGCUGUGCCACCUACUGAUCCUUUAGAGCAAUACUUGCUAGACCAUGAAAAUGAUUUACAUAUGCAUGAAAGAAAUGAAAUAGAUAAUAUUUUCUUUGAACAACGUCCUCUACUUCAACAGAAUUUGCCUAUUGAAACUCUUGGAGGCCCUCCUCCACCUAAAGGUGAUCCUGUGUUUGAAUUAAAACAAUUGCCAGACACUUUGAAAUAUGCUUAUCUUGAUGAAAAGAAGAUAUAUCCUGUUAUUAUUAGUGCUAACCUUUCAGAACAUGAAGAAGAAAGACUAUUGAAAGUUCUAAGGAAGCACCGAGCUGCUAUUGGAUAUACUCUUGAUGAUUUAAAGGGCAUUAGUCCCACUCUAUGUCAGCACAAAAUUAAUAUGGAACCUGAUGCUAAACCAGUUGUUGAUCACCAACGUCGGUUAAAUCCAAAAAUGAAAGAGGUGGUAAGAACGGAAAUAUUAGAACUUCUGGAAGCAGGUAUAAUCUAUCCUAUAGCUGAUAGUAGAUGGGUAAGUCCAGUUCGUUGUGUCCCUAAGAAAGGAGGUAUUACUGUUGUUCCUAAUGAUAAGAAUGAACUUAUUCCACAAAGAAUUGUUACAGGCUAUAGAAUGGUUAUUGAUUUUAGAAAAUUAAAUAAAGCUACUAGAAAAGAUCAUUACCAUUUGCCUUUUAUUGACCAAAUGCUUGAAAGAUUAUCUAAGCACACACAUUUUUGCUUCCUUGAUGGAUAUUCUCGCUUCUCACAAAUGCCUGUUUCUCAACCUGAUCAAGAAAAGACCACUUUUACUUGUCCUUUUGGAACUUAUGCUUAUAGACGUAUGCCUUUUGGUUUAUGUAAUGCACCCUCUACCUUUCAAAGAUGCAUGAUGGCUAUAUUCUCAGACUUUUGUGAAAAUAUUGUUGAGGUUUUCAUGGAUGACUUCUUUGUUUAUGGGAAGUCUUUUGAUGAUUGUUUAAGCAAUCUUGAUCGAGUUUUGCAGAGAUGUGAACAAACAAAUCUUGUCUUGAAUUGGGAGAAGUGCCACUUUAUGGUGAAUGAAGGCAUUGUCUUGGGUCAUAAAAUCUCUGAAAAAGGUAUUGAAGUGGACCAAGAUAAGGUUGAUGCUAUUGAGAAAAUGCCAUGUCCCAAGGAUAUAAAAGGUAUUCGUAGUUUCCUAGGCCAUGCUGGUUUCUAUAGGAGAUUUAUCAAAGAUUUUUCUAAAAUUUCUAGACCCCUCACUAAUCUUUUGCAAAAGGAUAUCCCUUUUGUCUUUGAUGAUGAUUGUCUUGAAGCCUUUGAAACACUCAAGAAAGCUUUAAUCUCUGCACCUAUUGUUCAACCACCUGAUUAGAACUUGCCUUUUGAAAUUAUGUGUGAUGCUAGUGAUUAUGCUGUUGGUGAUGUUCUAGGGCAAAGAGUUGAUAAGAAAUUGAAUGUUAUUCAUUAUGCUAGUAAAACUCUAGACAGUGCUCAAAGAAAUUAUGCUACAACUGAAAAAGAAUUCUUAGCAGUGGUGUUUGCUUGUGAUAAAUUUAGACCUUAUAUUGUUGAUUCCAAAGUAACUGUUCACACAGACUAUGCUGCUAUUAAAUAUCUUAUGGAAAAGAAAGAUGCUAAACCUAGACUUAUUCGUUGGGUUCUCUUGUUACAAGAAUUUGAUUUGCAUAUUAUUGAUAGAAAGGGAGAUGAGAACCCUGUAGCUGAUAACUUGUCUAGGCUUGAAAAUGUGCUUGAUGACCCACUUCCUAUUGAUGAUAGUUUUCCUGAUGAGCAGUUAGCUGCAAUAAAUGUUGCUAAUAGCACUCCUUGGUAUGCUGACUAUGCUAAUUACAUUGUUGCUAAAUAUUUACCACCUAGCUUUACAUAUCAACAAAAGAAAAAAAAUCUUAUAUGAUUUAAGACAUUACUUUUGGGAUGACCCACAUCUUUAUAAAGAAGGAGUAGAUGGUAUUAUUAGACGUUGUGUACCUGAGCAUGAACAGGGACAAAUCCUACGGAAAUUUCACUCCGAAGCUUAUGGAGGGCAUCAUGCUGGAGAUAGAACUGCUCAUAAGGUAUUGCAGUCUGGAUUUUAUUGGCCUACUCUCUUCAAGGAUGCUCGUAAGUUUGUCUCAUCUUGUGAUGAAUGCUAAAGAAUAGGUAAUAUUGGUAAGCGUCAAGAAAUGCCUAUGAACUAUUCACUUGUUGUUGAACCAUUUGAUGUAUGGGGACUUGAUUACAUGGGACUUUUUCCUUCCUCUAAUGGGUAUACACAUAUUUUGGUUGUUGUUGAUUAUGUUCCUAAAUGGGUAGAAGCUAUUCCAACUAGCAGUGCUGAUCACAACACCUCUAUUAAAAUGCUUAAGGAAGUUAUUUUCCCAAGGUUUGGAGUCCCUAGAUAUUUAAUGACUGAUGGUGGUUCACACUUUAUUCAUGGUGCUUUCCGUAAAAUGCUUGCUAAGUAUGAUGUUAACCAUAGAAUUGCAUCACCUUAUCAUCCUCAGUCUAGUGGUCAAGUUGAGCUUAGCAACAGAGAAAUAAAAUUAAUUUUGCAAAAGACUGUCAAUAGGUCCAGGAAGAAUUGGUCUAAGAAGUUAGAUGACGCACUUUGGGCUUAUAGAACAGCUUAUAAAAAUCCUAUGGGUAUGUCUCCUUAUAAAAUGGUUUAUGGAAAAGCUUGUCAUUUACCUCUUGAGUUAGAACAUAAAGCAUAUUGGGCAGUUAAAGAACUCAACUAUGAUUUCAAACUUGCUGGUGAAAAGAGGUUAUUUGAUAUUAGCUCACUAGAUGAAUGGAGAACCCAAGCAUAUGAAAUGCAAAGUUAUUCAAAGAAAAAGUUAAAAGAUGGCAUGACAAAAUAAUCCAAAAGCCCAUAUGUCAUUUUUUGCAGGGAAACUCCUCUCAAAAUGGGAAGGCCCAUAUGUCAUUGAGGAGGUUUACCGGUCCGGUGCCAUCAAAAUAAAUAAUUCCGAUGGUACUAACCCGAAGGUUGUCAAUGGACAACGAAUAAAGCAUUAUAUCUCAGGUACGCCUAUAAUGUUGAAAGCAAUACUAUCCAAACUUUGACACCGGAAGAAUACAUAAAAGAGUCCUUCCGGAACACUCCAGAAUCAUCAAAAUAAGGAGGUGCGCGGUACGGUAAGCAAACGGACUUCAAAAAAUCUGCAAAAAUAUUUUUUACCAGUUUUGUAAUAUUUCAUUUUUUGGAAAUAAAGAAACUUCCAGGGAGUGUCCCCUAGUGGGCACAAUACACCAGGGCGCGCCAGGCUUGUCUGGCGCGCCCAGGUGGGUUAAACCCACCUGGGACACCUCCCGUACUCCGUUUUUCUUCUAUAUGCUUGCCUUGCAAUAUAAAAAUUCUAUAUAUACUUCCCUAACUUGUUAACUACCGUAUCGUGGAGAAAAUCCUCGCCCAGGUGGCUUGUGCCAACCUAGGACACCUCCUGUACUCUGUUUUUCUUCUAUAUGCUUUCCUUGCAAGAUAGAAAUUCUAUAUAUACUUCCCUAACUUGUUAACUAUCGUAUCGCGGAGAAAAUCCUCUGUUCUCUUUUCUUGCUAUUCCGGUCAGAUUUAUCAAGCUAGGCAUCAUGUCUUCCUGCUCCUCCAACCACAUGGAAGAAGAUGCUUGGUUAAUGAAGAUCGAGACGAAGAGGGAGGAUCCUAUGGACACCACCAGAGGAGAACUGAGUAUCGGGUAUGGGCAUCCCCCUUGGCUUUCGCCAAGCUUGGGGGAGGUGCCCCGGUAUCGUAUCAUCCCACUAUCUUUUUGUUGUUACUUACCUUAGUUUGAUAUUUUGCUUAGAUGAAUAAAGUUUGGUUCGAUAUUUUCUUCUUUGAGAGGUUGCUUAGUGAUCUAUCAUUAUUAUCGUGUGUAAGUUAUAUAAUAACGUUUAGUUGGAGUUUUUGCUUUCUUUACUUUCAUGUUGCAAAUAACGAAAAGAAAUAAGAAAGAAAGAAAAAGAGAAAGGAAAAAUGAAUCAAUAAGAUCAUAUACUAAUCCUAUGGUAGGUGAUAGCACUACAUAAGGAAAAGUAUAAGUAAGAAAAUUUUAUUAGAGAUUGAUAAACAUAGCAUUGGUCAAUGAUGCAACUCAUGAAAGAAUUAAUAAGGGAAGAGAAGAUUCACAUAUAAAUAUACUAUCCUAGAAAUCUUUUGUGAUUGUGAACCCUCACCAAAUAUUAUAUGCCAAAAUUGUUGACGUUGGACAAGGAAGACAACUUAAUGGUUUAUGUUUGUUUAUAUUCACAUAGAAGUCAUAUUGUCAUAGAUCCUUCAACAUGUGGUGCUUGCCCCUAUCUUUGCUAGCCAAAAAUUCCGCACUAAGUAGAGAUACUACUUGUGCAUCCAAAAACCCUUAAACCCAAAUCUUUUUCAAGUGUCCACCUAUGGAUUGAGAAAGAUCCCUCAAGUAAGUUGUCAUCGGUGCAAAAGGGCAAUAAAAAUUGCUUCUAAAAGUGUGAGAUCAUUUAGUAUUAGAGAAAACUAAGCGUUGUACGAACUUGGAUGACAAAGAAUAAAAGCGACAGACUGCAUAAUAAAGGUUGUCAUCUUAAGGGGCAAUACAACGUGAUGUUCUCUUGCACAAAGGGAUUGAGCAUGCAAACAAAUAAGCACAUGGCAACCUCUGCUUCCCUCUGCGAAGGGCCUAUCUUUUACUUUUAUGUAUUUACCUUUAUGCAAAGAGUCAAAAGUUUUCCUUCUAUUCCUUUUUAUUUUCGCUUUUGGCAAGCAUCAUGUGGUGAGGAAAGAUCUAGUCACAUAUGUCCAGUUGAAUAUAGAUAGCAUGAGUUAUUAUUGUUGACAUCACCCUUGAGGUGAGUAUGUUGGGAGGCGAAACUAUAAGCCCCUAUCUUUCUAUGUGUCCGGUUGAAACGUUUUGCUCAUGGAUACGAGGUGAGUGUUAGCAAUGAUAGAAGACUAUAUGAUGGUUGAGUAUGUGGACUUGCUUUAAAGGCUCUGAUACGUGACUCUUCCUGAAAAGAUGAUGAAUUGUAGUUGCAAAGUUGACUGAGAACAUAGUUUGUUGGUUUCUAAUAGAGUUUUUGCUUUAUACUUUGAUUGUAUGGUGAACUGUUACUUAUUCAUGGGAAGUAUAUGAUGUAAGUCUAUGAUAGAAGUCCUAUGUUAAAAUUUUGUUGCUGUUAUAAUAAUCAACAUGAUGCUUCUAUGUCUGUAUUCUAUUUUUAUCGAGACCUCUCUCUCAAAGCAUGUGGACAUGUUUUUCGAUUUCGGUUUUCGCUUGAGGACAAGCAAGGCCUAAGCUUGGGGGAGUUGAUACGUCCAUUUUGCAUCAUGUUUUCUUGCUGUUAUUUAUAAUGUUUUUAUCCAUAAUAAUGUUUUUUAGAGUAAUUCUAAUGCCUUUCUCUCACAAUUUUCAAGGAACACACUAAGAGGGAGAAUUCCGGCAGCUGGAAAUCUAGACCUGGAAAAGCUACGUCAGGUCACCUAUUCUACACAACUCCAAAUGAGCUGAAACUCCACGAGGAUUUUUUAUGGAAUAUUUAAGAAAUAAUGGAGCCAAUAAACACCAGUGGAGGCCCACCAGGUGGGCACAACCCACCUGGGCGCGCCAGGCCCCCCUUGCGCGCCCUGGUGGGUUGUGGCCUCCUCGGCUCACCUCCGGUGCCCAUCUUCUGGUAUAUAAGUGAUUUUGACCUAAAAAAUCACGGGAAGGCUUUCGGGACGAAUCGCCGCCGUCUCGAGGCGAAACUUGGGCAGGAACACUUUUGCCCUCCGGCAGAGCGAUUCUGCCGGGGGAAAUCAUUUUCAUCAUCAUCAACAACAACUCUCCCAUCUUGGGGAGGGCAAUAUCCAUCAACAUCUUCACCAGCACCAUCUCAUCUCAAACCCUAGUUCAUCUCUUGUAUUCAAUCUUGUUACCGGAACUAUAGAUUGUUGCUAGGGGUGGCUAGUAGUGUUGAUUACAUCUUGUAGUUGAUUACUAUAUGGUUUAUUUGGUGGAAGAUUAUAUGUUCAGAUCCAUUAUGCAUAUUAAUACCCCUCUGAUGAUGAGCAUGUUCGUUGUUUGUGAGUAGUUACCUUUGUUCUUGAGGUCACGGGAUAAAUCAUGUUGCAAGUAAUCAUCUAAACUCGAUAUGUGUUCGAUAUUUUGAUAGUAUGUGUGUUGUGAUUCCCCUAGUGGUGUCAUGUGAACGUCGACUACAUGACACUUCACCAUAUUUGGGCCUAAGGGAAUGCACUGUGGAGUAGUAAAUAGAUGGUGGGUUGCGAGAGUGACAGAAAUUUAAACCCCAGUUUAUGCACUAUUUCGUAAGGGACCGAUUGGAUCCUAGAGUUUAAUGCUAUGGUUAGGAUUUAUCCUUAAUACUUUUCUCGUAUUUGUCGAUGCUUGCGGGAGGGUUAAUCAUAAGUAGGAGGUUUGUUCAAGUAAGAACAACACCUAAGCACCGGUCCACCCACAUAUCAAAUUAUCAAAGUAGCGAACACAAAUCGAACCAACAUGAUGAAAGUGACUAGAUGAAAUUCCCGUGUACCCUCAAGAACGCUUUGCUUAUCAUAAGAGACCGCUUUGGCCUGUCCUUUGCCUCAAAAAGAUUGGGCUACCUUGCUGCAUACUUGUUACAAUUAUCAUUACUUGCUCGUUACAAAUUAUCUUGCUAUCAAACUACUCGCUACUUACAGUUUCAGCACUUGCAGACAUUACCUUACUGAAAAUUGUUGGAAAUAUGCCCUAGAGGCAAUAAUAAAUAGGUUAUUAUUAUAUUUCCUUGUUCAUGAUAAUCGUUUAUUAUCCAUGCUAGAAUUGUAUUGAUAGGAAACUCAGAUACAUGUGUGGAUACAUAGACAACACCAUGUCCCUAGUAAGCCUCUAGUUGACUAGCUCGUUGAUCAAUAGAUGGUUACGCUUUCCUGACCAUGGACAUUGGAUGUCGUUGAUAACAGGAUCACAUCAUUAGGAGAAUGAUGUGAUGGACAAGACCCAAUCCUAAGCCUAGCACAAGAUCGUGUAGUUCGUUUGCUCAGAGCUUUUCUAAUGUCAAGUAUCAUUUCCUUAGACCAUGAGAUUGUGCAACUCCCGGAUACCGUAGGAAUGCUUUGGGUGCACCAAACGUCACAACGUAACUGGGUGGCUAUAAAGGUGCACUACAGGUAUCUCCGAAAGUGUCUGUUGGGUUGGCACGAAUCGAGACUGGGAUUUGUCACUCCGUGUAAACGGAGAGGUAUCUCUGGGCCCACUCGGUAGAACAUCAUCAUAAUGUGCACAAUGUGACCAAGGAGUUGAUCACGGGAUGAUGUGAGUUACGUAACGAGUAAAGAGACUUGCCGGUAACGAGAUUGAACAAGGUAUCGGGAUACCGACGAUCGAAUCUCGGGCAAGUAACAUACCAAUAGACAAAGGGAAUUGUAUACGGGAUUGAUUGAAUCCUCAACAUCGUGGUUCAUCCGAUGAGAUCAUCGAGGAGCAUGUGGGAGCCAACAUGGGUAUCCAGAUCCCGCUGUUGGUUAUUGACCGGAGAGUCGUCUCGGUCAUGUCUGCCUGUCUCCCGAACCCGUAGGGUCUACACACUUAAGGUUUGGUGACGCUAGGGUUAUAGAGAUAUUAGUAUGUGGUAACCCGAAAGUUGUUCGGAGUCCCGGAUGAGAUCCCGGACGUCACGAGGAGUUCCGGAAUGGUCCGGAGGUAAAGAUUUAUAUAUGGGAAGUCUUAUUUUGGUCGCCGGAAAAGUUUCGCGCAUUAUCGGUAUUGUACCGGGAGUGCCGAAAGGGGUCCGGGGGUCCACCAAGGGGGUCCACCAGCCCCGGGGGGCCACAUGGGCUGUAGGGGGUGCGCCUUGGCCUAUAUGGGCCAAGGGCACCAGCCCCAAGAGGCCCAUGCGCCAAGAGAUAAGAAAACCGGAGAAUCCUAAAGGGGGAAGGCACCUCCGAGGUGCCUUGGGGAGGAAGGACUCCUCCCUGGCCGCACCCUUCCUUGGAGGAAGGGCCAAGGCUGCGCCCCCCCCCCUCUCCCUUGGCCCUAUAUAUAGUGGGGGGAAGGGAGGGCAGCAACAUCUAAGCCCUGGCGCCUCCCUCUCCCUCCCGUGACACCUCUUCCUCCCCGCUUGCGCUUGGCGAAGCCCUACCGGGAUCCCGCUACUUCCACCACCACGCCGUCGUGCUGCUGGAUCUCCAGCAACCUCUCCUCCCCCCCUUGCUGGAUCAAGAAGGAGGAGACGUCGCUGCUCCGUACGUGUGUUGAACGCGGAGGUGCCGUCUGUUCGGCGCUAGAUCAUCGGUGAUUUGGAUCACGACGAGUACGACUCCAUCAACCCCGUUCUCUUGAAAGCUUCCGCUCGCGAUCUACAAGGGUAUGUAGAUGCACUCCUUCCCUCUCGUUGCUAGUAAACUCCAUAGAUUGAUCUUGGUGAUGCGUAGAAAAUUUUGAAUUUCUGCUACAUAACCCAACAGUGGCAUCAUGAGCUAGGUCUAUGCGUAGUUUCUAUGCACGAGUAGAACACAAAGUAGUUGUGGGCGUAGAUGUUGCAAAUUCUUCUUGCCGCUACUAGUCUUAUCUUGUUUCGGCAGCAUUGUGGGAUGAAGCGGCCCGGACCGACCUUACACGUACUCUUACGUGAGACAGGUUCCACCGACUGACAUGCACUAGUUGCAUAAGGUGGCUAGCGGGUGUCUGUCUCUCCCACUUUAGUCGGAACGGAUUCGAUGAAAAGGGUCCUUAUGAAGGGUAAAUAGAAAUUGGCAUAUCACGUUGUGGUCUUACGUAGGUAAGAAACGUUCUUGCUAGAAACCUAUACAAGCCACGUAAAAACUUGCAACAACAAUUAGAGGACGUCUAACUUGUUUUUGCAGCAUGUGCUAUGUGAUGUGAUAUGGCCAGAAGAUGUGAUGAAUGAUAUAUGUGAUGUAUGAGAUUGAUCAUAUUCUUGUAAUAGGAAUCACGACUUGCAUGUCGAUGAGUAUGACAACCGGCAGGAGCCAUAGGAGUUGUCUUUAUUAUUUUGUAUGACCUGCGUGUCAUUGAAUAAACGCCAUGUAAAUUACUUUACUUUGUUGCUAAACGCGUUAGCCAUAGAAGUAGAAGUAAUCGUUGGCGUGACGACUUCAUGAAGACACAAUGAUGGAGAUCAUGAUGAUGGAGAUCAUGGUGUCAUGCCGGUGACGAAGAUGAUCAUGGUGCCCCGAAGAUGGAGAUCAAAGGAGCAUGAUGAUAUUGGCCAUAUCAUGUCACUAUUUGAUUGCAUGUGAUGUUUAUCAUGUUUUUGCAUCUUAUUUGCUUAGAACGACGGUAGUAAGUAAGAUGAUCCCUUAUAAUAAUUUCAAGAAAGUGUUCACCCUAACUGUGCACCGUUGCGAAGGUUCGUUGUUUCGAAGCACCACGUGAUGAUCGGGUGUGAUAGAUUCUAACGUUCGAAUACAACGGGUGUUGACGAGCCUAGCAUGUACAGACAUGGCCUCGGAACACACGCAAUACACUUAGGUUGACUUGACGAGCCUAGAAUGUACAGACAUGGCCUCGGAACACGGAGGACCGAAAGGUCGAGCAUGAGUCGUAUAGAAGAUACGAUCUGUUGGAAAUAUGCCCUAGAGGCAAUAAUAAAUGGUUAUUAUUAUAUUUCUGUGUUCAUGAUAAUAGUCUUUUAUUCAUGCUAUAAUUGUAUUGUCCGGAAAUCGUAAUACAUGUGUGAAUACAUAGACCACAACCUGUCCCUAGUAAGCCUCUAGUUGACUAGCUCGUUGAUCAACAGAUAGUCAUGGUUUCCUGACUAUGGACAUAGGAUGUCAUUGAUAACGGGAUCACAUCAUUAGGAGAAUGAUGUGAUGGACAAGACCCAACUUAAGCAUAGCAUAAAAGAUCGUGUAGUUUCGUUUGCUAGAGCUUUUCCAAUGUCAAGUAUCUUUUCCUUAGACCAUGAGAUCGUGCAACUCCCGGAUACCGUAGGAGUGCUUUGGGUGUGCCAAACGUCACAACGUAACUGGGUGACUAUAAAGGUGCAUUACGGGUAUCUCCGAAAGUGUCUGUUGGGUUGGCACGGAUCGAGACUGGGAUUUGUCACUCCGUGUGACGGAGAGGUAUCUCUGGGCCCACUCGGUAAUGCAUCAUCAUAAUGAGCUCAAUGUGACUAAGGCGUUAGUCACGGGAUCAUGCAUUGCGGUACGAGUAAAGAGACUUGCCGGUAACGAGAUUGAACAAGGUAUUGGGAUACUGACGAUCGAAUCUCGGGCAAGUAACAUACCGAUUGACAAAGGGAGUUGCAUACGGAUUGAUUGAAUCCUCGACACCGUGGUUCAUCCGAUGAUAUCAUCGUGGAACAUGUGGGAGCCAACAUGGGUAUCCAGAUCCCGCUGUUGGUUAUUGACCGGAGAGGCGUCUCGGUCAUGUCUGCAUGUCUCCCGAACCCGUAGGGUCUACACACUUAAGGUCCGGUGACGCUAGGGUUGUAGAGAUAUAUGUAUGCGGAAACCCGAAAGUUGUUCGGAGUCCCGGAUGAGAUCCCGGACGUCACGAGAGGUUCCGGAAUGGUCCGGAGGUAAAGAUUUAUAUAUGGGAAGUCUUAUUUUGGUCGCCGGAAAAGUUUCGCGCUUUAUCGGUAUUGUACCGGGAGUGCCGAAAGGGGUCCGGGGGUCCACCAAGGGGGUCCACCAGCCCCGGGGGGCCACAUGGGCUGUAAGGGGUGCGCCUUGGCCUAUAUGGGCCAAGGGCACCAGCCCCAAGAGGCCCAUGCUCAAGAGAUAAGAAAGAAGGGAGAGUCCUAAAGGGGGAAGGCACCUCCGAGGUGCCUUGGGGGGGAAGGACUCCCCCCUGGCCGCACCCUUCCUUGAAGGAAGGGGCAAGGCUGCGCCCCCCCUCUCCCUUGGCCCUAUAUAUAGUGGGGGGAAGGGAGGGCAGCAAGAUCUAAGCCUUGGGCGCCUCCCUCCUCCCCUGCAACACCUCUCUCUCUCUCGCAGAAGCUCGGCGAAGCCCUGCCGGAGACCCGCUACAUCCACCACCACGCCGUCGUGCUGUUGGAUCUCCAUCAACCUCUCCUUCCCCCUUGCUGGAUCAAGAAGGAGGAGACGUCGCUGCACCGUACGUGUGUUGAACGCGGAGGUGCCGUCCGUUCGGCACUUGGUCAUCGGUGAUUUGGAUCACGGCGAGUACGACUCCGUCAUCCACGUUCAUUGGAACGCUUCCGCUCGCGAUCUACAAGGGUAUGUAGAUGCACUCCUUUCCCCUCGUUGCUAGUAUACUCCAUAGAUGCAUCUUGGUGAGCGUAGGAAAAUUUUAAAAUUAUGCUACGAUUCCCAACAGUGGCAUCAUGAGCCAGGCCUAUGCGUAGUUACUAUGCACGAGUAGAACACAAAGUAGUUGUGGGCGUUGAUGUUGCCAAUUCUUCUUGCCGCUACUAGUCGUAUCUUGUUUCGGCGGUAUUGUAGGAUGAAGCGGCCCGGACCGACCUUACACGUACGCUUACGUGAGACAGGUUCCACCGACUGACAUGCACUAGUUGCAUAAGGUGGCUAGCGGGUGUCUGUCUCUCCUACUUUAGUCGGAACGGAUUCGAUGAAAAGGGUCCUUAUGAAGGGUAAAUAGAAAUUGGCAAAUCACGUUGUGGUUUUACGUAGGUAAGAAACGUUCUUGCUAGAAACCUAUACAAGCCACGUAAAACUUGCAACAACAAUUAGAGGACGUCUAACUUGUUUUUGCAGCAUGUGCUAUGUGAUGUGAUAUGGCCAGAAGAUGUGAUGAAUGAUAUAUGUGAUGUAUGAGAUUGAUCAUAUUCUUGUAAUAGGAAUCACGACUUGCAUGUCGAUGAAUAUGACAACCGGCAGGAGCCAUAGGAGUUGUCUUUAUUUUUUGUAUGACCUGCGUGUCAUUGAAUAACGCCAUGUAAAUUACUUUACUUUAUUGCUAAGCGCGUUAGCCAUAGAAGUAGAAGUAAUCGUUGGCGUGACAACUUCAUGAAGACACAAUGAUGGAGAUCAUGGUGUCAUGCCGGUGACAAAGAUGAUCAUGGUGCCCCGAAGAUGGAGAUCAAAGGAGCAAAAUGAUAUUGGCCAUAUCAUGUCACUAUUUGAUUGCAUGUGAUGUUUAUCAUGUUAUGCAUCUUAUUUGCUUAGAACGACGGUAGCAUAAAUAAGAUGAUCCCUCACUAAAAUUUCAAGAGAAGUGUUCCCCCUAACUGUGCACCGUUGCGAAGGUUCGUUGUUUCGAAGCACCACGUGAUGAUCGGGUGUGAUAGAUUCUAACGUUCGAAUACAACGGGUGUUGUCGAGCCUAGCAUGUACAGACAUGGCCUCGGAACACAUGUGAAACACUUAGGUUGACUUGACGAGCCUAGCAUGUACAGACAUGGCCUCGGAACACAAGAGACCAAAAGGUCGAACAUGAGUCGUAUAGUAGAUGCGAUCAACAUGGAGGUGUUCACCGAUGAUAACUAGUCCGUCUCACGUGAUGAUCGGACACGGCCUAGUUUGACUCGGAUCAUGUAUCACUUAGAUGACUAGAGGGAUGUCUAUCUGAGUGGGAGUUCAAUAAUCAGAUGAACUUCAUUAUCAUGAACAUAGUCAAAAGGUGUUUGCAAAUUAUGUCAUACGCUUUAGUUCUACUGUUUAAGAUAUGUUCCUAGAGAAGAAUUUAGUUGAAAGUUGGUAGUAGCAAUUAUGCGGACUGGGUCCGUAAACUGAGGAUUGUCCUCAUUGCUGCACAGAAGGCUUAUGUCCUUAAUGCACCGCUCGGUGUGCUGAACCUCAGCGUCGUCUGUAGAUGUUGCGGAACAUCUGACAUACACGUUUUGAUAACUACGUGAUAGUUCAGUGCGUAAUGCUAACGGUUUAGAAUUGUGGCACCGAAGACGGUUUUGAAACAUCGCAGAACAUAUGAGAUGUUCCGAAGAUUGAAAUUGGGAUUUCAGACUAGUGCCCACGUCAAGAGGUAUGAGACCUCUGACAAGUUUCUUAAGCCUGCAAACUAAGGGAGAAAGGCUCAAUCGUUGAGCAUGUGCUCAGAUUGUCUGAGUACCACAAUCGCUUGAAUCGAGUAGGAGUUAAUCUCCCAGAUGAGAUAGUGAUAGUUCUCCAUAGUCACUGCCACCAAGCUAGUAGAGCUUCGUGAUGAACUAUAACAUAUCAGGGAUAGUUAUGAUGAUCCUUGAGCUAUUCGCGAUGUUUGACACCGCGAGAGUAGAAAUCAAGAAGGAGCAUCAAUUGUUGAUGGUUAGUAAAACCACUAGUUUAAGAAGGGCAAGGGAAAAAGGGAUACUUCAUGAAACAGCAAGUCGUUUGCUGCUCUAGUGAAGAAUCCCAAGGUUGAACCCAAACCCGAGACUAAGUGCUUCUGUAAUGAGGGGAACGGUCACUGAAGCAGGACUACCCUAGAUACUUGGUAGAUGAGAAGGCAGGCAAGAUCGACAGAAGUAUAUUGGAUAUACAUUAUAUGAAUGUGUACUUUACUAGUACUCCUAGCAGCACCAGGGUAUUGGAUACCGGUUCAGUUGCUAAGUGUUAGUAACUCGAAAUAAAAGCUGCGGAAUAAACGGAGACUAGCUAAAGGCGAGAUGACGAUAUGUGUUGGAAGUGUUUCCAAGGUUGAUGUGAUCAAGCAUCGCAUGCUCCCUCUACCAUCGAGAUUUGGUGUUUGCGUUGAGCAUGAUUGGAUUAUGUUUAUCGCAAUACGGUUAUUCAUUUAAGGAGAAUAAUGGUUACUCUUUUAUUUGAAUAAUACCUUCAAUGGUCUUGCACCUAAAAUGAAUCUCGAUCACAGUGAUACACAUGUUCAUGCCAAAAGAUAUAAAAUAGUAAUGAUAGUACCACAUACUUGUGGCACUGCAAUUUGAGUCAUAUUGGUAUAGAACGCAUGAAGAAGCUCCAUGUAGAUGGAUCUUUGGACUCAGUCGUUUUUGAAAAGAUUGAGACAUGCGAACCAUGUCUAUUGGUAUAUAUGCAUGAAGAAACUCCAUGCAGAUGGAUCGUUUGGACUCACUUGAUUUUGAAUCACUUGAGACAUGCAAAUCAUACCACAUGGGCAAGAUGACUGAAAGGCCUCGUUUUCAGUAAGAUGGAACAAGAGAGCAACUUAUUGGAAGUAAUACAUUUUGAUGUAUGCAGUCCAAUGAGUGCUGAGGCAUGCAGUGGAUAUCGUUAUGUUCUUACUUCACAGAUGAUUUGAGUAGAUGCUGAGUGUAUUUACUUGAUAAACACAAGUCUGAAUUAUUGAAAGGUUCAAGUAAUUUCAGAGUGAAGUUGAAGAUCGUCGUGACAAGAGGAUAAAAUGUCUGUGAUAUGAUCAUAGAGAUGAGUAUCUGAGUUACGAGUUUGGCACACAAUUAAGACAUUGUGGAAAGUGUUUCACAAUUAAUACCGCCUGGAACACCAUAGUGUGAUGGUGUGUCCGAACAUCAUAACUUCACCCUAUUGGAUAUGGUGCAUACCAUGAUGUCUCUUAUCGAAUUACCACUAUCGUUUAUGGGUUAGGCAUUAGAGAUAACCGCAUUCACUUUUAAAGGGGCACCACGCAAUUCCGUUGAGACGACACCGUUUAGAGAAACCUAAGUUGUCGUUUCUUAAAAGUUUGGGGCUGCGAAGCUUAUGUGAAGAAGUUUCAGGCUGAUAAGCUCGAACCCAAAGCGGAUAAAUACAUCUUCAUAAGAAUACCCAAAACUGUUGGGUAUACCUCCUAUUUCAGAUCUGGAAGCAAAAGUAAUUGCUUCUAGAAACGAGUCCUUUCUCGAGGAAAAGUUUCUCUCGAAAGAAUUGAGUGGGAGGAUGGUGGAGACUUGAUAAGGUUAUUGAACCGUCACUUCAACUAGUGUGUAGCAGGGCACAGGAAGUUGUUCCUGUGGCACCUACACCAAUUGAAGUGGAAGCUUAUGAUAGUGAUCAUGAAACUUCGGAUCAAGUCACUACCAAACCUCGUAGGACGACGAGGAUGCGUAAUACUUCAGAGUAGUACGUGAUCCUGUCUUGGAAGUCAUGUUGUUGGACAACGAUGAACCUAUGAGCUAUGGAGAAGCGAGGGUGGGCCCAUAUUCCGACAAAUGGUUAGAAGCCAUGAAAUCCGAGAUAGGAUCCAUGUAUCAGAACAAAGCAUGGACUUUGGUGAACUUGCCCGAUGAUCGGCAAGCCAUUGAGAUAAAUGGAUCUUUAAGAAGAAGACGGACAUGGACGGUAAUGUUACCGUCUAUGAAGCUCGACUUGUGGCAAAGAGUAUUUUCACAAGUUCAAGGAGUUGACUACGAUUUUCUCAUCCGUAGCGAUGCUUAAGUCCGUCAGAAUCAUGUUAGCAUUAGCUGCAUUUAUGAAAUCUGGCAGAUGGAUGUCAAAACAAGUUUCCUUACCAGUUUUCGUAAGGAAAGGUUGUAUGUGAUACAAUCAGAAAGGUUUUGUCGAUCCUAAGGAUGCUAAAAGGUAUGCUAGCUCCAGUGAUCCUUCCAUGGACUAGAGCAAGCAUCUCGGAGUCAGAAUAUACGCUUUGAUGGAGUGAUCAAAGUUUUUGGGUUUAUACAAAGUUUGUUAGAAACUUGUAUUUACAAUAAAGUGAGUGGGAGCGCUACAACAUUUUUGAUAAGUAUAUGUGAAUGACAUAUUGUUGAUCCGAAAUGAUGUAAAAUUUCUGGAAAGCAUAAAGGGUUGUUUGAAAGGAGUUUUUCAAAGGAAGACCUGGACAAAAGCUGCUUACAUAUUGGGCAUCAAGAUCUAUAGAGAUAGAUCAAGACGCCCGAUGAUACUUUCGAAGAACGCACACCUUAACAUGAUUUUGAAAGAGUUCAAAAUAGAUCAGCAAAGAAGGAGUUCUUGGCUGUGUUACAAGAUGUGAGUAUUGAGUAAGACUCAAGGCCUGACCACAGCAGAAGAGAGAGAAAGGAUGAAGGUCGUCCCCUAUGCUUUAGACGUAGGCUCUACAGUAUGCCAUGUUGUGUACCGCACAUGAAGUGUGCCUUGCCAUGAGUUGGUCAAGGGGUACGAUAGUGAUCCGGGAAUGGAUCACAUGACAGCAAUCGAACUUAUCCUUAGUAUCUAGUGGACUAAGGAAUUUUCUCGAUUAUGGAGGUGAAAAGGAGUUCGUCGUAAAGGGUUACGUCGAUGCGAACUUUGACACUAAUCCGGAUGACUCUGAGUAGUCAACCGGAUUCGUAUAGUAGAGCAAUUAUUUGAAAUGGCUCCAAGUAGCGCGUGGUAGCAUCCACAAGAUGACAUAGAUAUUCGUAAAGCACACACGGAUCUGAAAGGUUCAGACCCGUUGACUAAUAACCUCUCUCACAAGCAUAACAUGAUCAAACCAGAACUCAUUGAGUGUUAAUCACAUAGUGAUGUGAACUAGAUUGUUGACUCUAGUAAACUCUUUGGAUGUUGGUCACAUGGUGAUGUGACCUGUCAGUGUUAAUCACAUGGUGAUGUGAACUAGAUUAUUGACUCUAGUGCAAUUGGGAGACUGUUGGAAAUAUGCCCUAGAGGCAAUAAUAAAUAGGUUAUUAUUAUAUUUCCUUGUUCAUGAUAAUCGUUUAUUAUCCAUGCUAGAAUUGUAUUGAUAGGAAACUCAGAUACAUGUGUGGAUACAUGGACAACACCAUGUCCCUAGUAAGCCUCUAGUUGACUAGCUCGUUGAUCAAUAGAUGGUUACGGUUUCCUGACCAUGGACAUUGGAUGUCGUUGAUAACAGGACCACAUCAUUAGGAGAAUGAUGUGAUGGACAAGACCCAAUCCUAAGCCUAGCACAAGAUCGUGUAGUUCGUUUGCUCAGAGCUUUUCUAAUGUCAAGUAUCAUUUCCUUAGACCAUGAGAUUGUGCAACUCCCGGAUACCGUAGGAAUGCUUUGGGUGCACCAAACGUCACAACGUAACUGGGUGGCUAUAAAGGUGCACUACAGGUAUCUCCGAAAGUGUCUGUUGGGUUGGCACGAAUCGAGACUGGGAUUUGUCACUCCGUGUAAACGGAGAGGUAUCUCUGGGCCCACUCGGUAGGACAUCAUCAUAAUGUGCACAAUGUGACCAAGGAGUUGAUCACGGGAUGAUGUGAGUUACGGAACGAGUAAAGAGACUUGCCGGUAACGAGAUUGAACAAGGUAUCGGGAUACCGACGAUCGAAUCUCGGGCAAGUAACAUACCGAUAGACAAAGGGAAUUGUAUACGGGAUUGAUUGAAUCCUCAAAAUCGUGGUUCAUCCGAUGAGAUCAUCGAGGAGCAUGUGGGAGCCAACAUGGGUAUCCAGAUCCCGCUGUUGGUUAUUGACCGGAGAGUCGUCUCGGUCAUGUCUGCCUGUCUCCCGAACCCGUAGGGUCUACACACUUAAGGUUCGGUGACGCUAGGGUUAUAGAGAUAUUAGUAUGUGGUAACCCGAAAGUUGUUCGGAGUCCCGGAUGAGAUCCCGGACGUCACGAGGAGUUCUGGAAUGGUCCGAAGGUAAAGAUUUAUAUAUGGGAAGUCUUAUUUUGGUCGCCGGAAAAGUUUCGCGCAUUAUCGGUAUUGUACCGGGAGUGCCGAAAGGGGUCCGGGGGUCCACCAAGGGGGUCCACCAGCCCCGGGGGGCCACAUGGGCUGUAGGGGGUGCGCCUUGGCCUAUAUGGGCCAAGGGCACCAGCCCCAAGAGGCCCAUGCGCCAAGAGAUAAGAAAACCGGAGAGUCCUAAAGGGGGAAGGCACCUCCGAGGUGCCUUGGGGAGGAAGGACUCCUCCCUGGCCGCACCCUUCCUUGGAGGAAGGGCCAAGGCUGCGCCCCCCCCCCUCUCCCUUGGCCCUAUAUAUAGUGGGGGGAAGGGAGGGCAGCAACAUCUAAGCCCUGGCGCCUCCCUCUCCCUCCCGUGACACCUCUCCCUCCCCGCUUGCGCUUGGCGAAGCCCUGCCGGGAUCCCGCUACUUCCACCACCACGCCGUCGUGCUGCUAGAUCUCCAUCAACCUCUCCUCCCCCCCUUGCUGGAUCAAGAAGGAGGAGACGUCGCUGCUCCGUACGUGUGUUGAACGCGGAGGUGCCGUCUGUUCGGCGCUAGAUCAUCGGUGAUUUGGAUCACGACGAGUACGACUCCAUCAACCCCGUUCUUUUGAACGCUUCCGCUCGCGAUCUACAAGGGUAUGUAGAUGCACUCCUUCCCUCUCGUUGCUAGUAAACUCCAUAGAUUGAUCUUGGUGAUGCGUAGAAAAUUUUGAAUUUCUGCUACAUAACCCAACAAAAACUACCUGUCAUUUCCUUCUGCUCCUCGUUGGGUUCGACACUCUUACUUAUCGAAAAGAGCUACAAUUGAUCCCCUAUACUUGUGGGUCAUCAUGCCCCGAGGGGGGCACGACCCACCUGGGCGCGCCUAGGGGCCCAGGCGCACCCUGGUGGGUUGUGCCCACCUCGGUGUCCUCCUGAUACGUCUCCAACGUAUCUAUAAUUUUUGAUUGUUCCAUGUUAUUAUAUUAUCUGUUUUGGAUGUUUUGGGCUUUAAUAUGCUCUUUUAUAUUAUUUUGGGACUAACCUAUUAACCGGAGGCCCAGUGACAAUUUCUGUUUUUUUGCCUAUUUUAGAGUUUCGCAGAAAAGGAAUACCAAAGAGAGUGCAAACGGAAUGAAACCUUCGCGAUGAUCUUUCUUGGACCGAAAGCAAACCAGAAGACUUGGAGAUGAAGUCAGAGACAUAACGAGGCGGCCACGAGGCAGGAGGGCGCGCCCCCACCCUCGUGGGCCCCUCGUAGCUCCACCGACGUACUUCUUUCGCCUAUAUAUACUCUUAUACCCUAGAAACAUCAGGGGGAGACACGAAACCACUUUUCCAAAGCUGCAACCUUCUGUACCCGUCAGAUCCCAUCUUGGGGCCUUUUCCGGUGAUCUGCCGGAGGGGGGAUCAAUCACGGAGGGCUUCUACAUCAACACCAUAGCCUCUCCGAUGAAGCGUGAGUAGUUUACCACAGACCUUCGGGUCCAUAGUUAUUAGCUAGAUGGCUUCUUCUCUCUCUUUUAUUCUCAAUACAAAGUUCUCCUCGAUGUUCUUGGAGAUCUAUUUGAUGUAAUACUCUUUUGCGGUGUGUUUGCCGAGAUCCGAUGAAUUGUGGAUUUAUGAACUUGAUUAUCUAUGAAUAUUAUUUGGUUCUCUGAAUUCUUAUAUGCAUGAUUUGAUAUCUUUGCAAGUCUCUUCGACUUAUCAGUUUAGUUUGGCCUACUAGAAUGAUCUUUCUUGCAAUGGGAGAAGUGCUUAGCUUUGGGUUCAAUCAUGCGGUGUCCUUUCCCAGUGACAGUAGGGGCAGCAAGGCAUGUAUUGUAUUGUUGCCAUCGAGGAUAAAAAGAUGGGGUUUAUAUCAUAUUGCUUGAGUUUAUCCCUCUACAUCAUGUCAUCUUGCUUAAUGCGUUACUCCGUUCUUAUGAACUUAAUACUCUAGAUGCAUGCUGGAUAGUGGUCGAUGUGUGGAAUAAUAGUAGUAGAUGCAGAAUCGUUUCGGUCUACUUGACACGGACGUGAUGCCUAUAUUCAUGAUCAUUGCCUUAGAUAUCUUCAUAACUAUGCGCUUUUCUAUCAAUUGCUCGGCAGUAAUUUGUUCACCCACCGUAAUACAUGCUAUCUUGAGAGAAGCCACUAGUGAAACCUAUGGCCCCCGGGUCUCUUUCUUAUUAUAUUGCAUCUCUUUUAUUUACAUCGCAUCUCGUUUACUAUUUUAUAAUCUUUACUUUCCAAUCUAUACAACAAAAAUACAAAAAAUAUUACUUUACUAUCUCUAUGAGAUCUCACUUUUGCGAGUGACCGUGAAGGGAUUGACAACCCCUUUAUCACGUUGGUUGCAAGGUUCUUGAUUGUUUGUGCAGGUACUAGGUGACUUGUGUGUUGUCUCCUACUGGAUUGAUACCUUGGUUCUCAAAAACUAAGGGAAAUACUUACGCUACUUUGAUGCAUCACCCUUUCCUCUUCAAGGAAAAACCAACGCAUGCUCAAGAGGUAGCACCUCCCGCACCGCCUCUUCGCCCUAUAAAUUGUCAAUAUUCCAAAAGCCCUGGGGGUAACCCUAGAUCAGAAGUUCCGCCGUCGCAAGCCUCUGUAGCCACGAAAAACCAAUCUAGACCCCGUUCCGGCACUCCGCCGGAGGGGGAAAUCAUCACCGGUGGCCAUCUUCAUCAUCCCGGCGGCCACUGAUACGUCUCCAACGUAUCUAUAAAGAGGACUUGAUGCUUUAAUGCUAUGGUUGGGUUUUACCUUAAUGAUCUUUAGUAGUUGUGGAUGCUUGCUAGAGUUCCAAUCAUAAGUGCAUAUGAUCCAAGAAGAGAAAGUAUGUUAGCUUAUGCCUCUCCCUCAUAUGAAAUUGCAAUAGUGACUACCGGUCUUGUUAACAAUUGCCUAGGACAAUUCCGCACACCGAUCCACCAUUAUUCCACACUCGCUAUUUAUAAUAUUUAGUAAUAUAUUCCAUACGAAGUUAUCCUCUUCAUACCCACAACGUAGUUUUAUUUCUCGUUGCUAAUUGGAAGCAAACGUUCGGUGUACGUAGAGUCGUAUCAGUGGCAGAUAGGGCUUGAGAGAAUAUUGAUCUUACUUUUAGCUCCUUGUGGGUUCGACACUCCAUACUUAUCACUUCCACCUUUGGAAAUUGCUACGAUGAUUCCCUGCACUUGGGGAUUAUCAAGCUCUUUUCUGGCGCCGUUGCCGGGGAGCAAUAGCGUGGGGUUGAUAUUCUCGUGUGUGCUUGUUUGCUUUCUUCACUAAGUAGAUUUCAUUUUCCUUUUUGUUUCUGUUUAGUUGUGGGUGAAACAUACAAAAAAAAUAAAGAAUGAAAAUACCAAAAAAAUUACUUGCCUCUCAUGCCUAAAAAGUUUUUCAAAGAGAGAAGUGAUUGGAAAGUUAUGCAUUGAAGAAGUGAGGGUCGACCUUGAGCACUUGUGUUCAUGCUCACGGAAACAAUGUAGAAUUUUUCAUGGAACUUUCUCUGUAAAUAAUUAUCCCCUUGUAUAUAUCCAUUGUAUUAUAAAAAUAAUGUGCCAAGAUUUGGUUUUAGGAUGAUUAGAUUGCUUGUUUACUAUGUGCAGAACAAAAACAGAAACUUUGGCUGUAGUGCAUGAAUUUACAUUUUUUACUGGAAGGUCAAAUGGGUGUGGAAAUUUUUGCACAUUACUUCUGUACAAAAUUUUCAAAUUGUCAAAUUUAUUUCAUAAUUUUAGGAGUUACAGAAGUUUACCAAACUUCCAGAUUACUUCAGACUGUUCUGUUUUUAACAGAUUCUGUUUUGCGUGUGUUGUUUGCUUAUUUCGAUGAAUCUAUGGCUAGUAUCGGGGGGUAUGAACCAUAGAGAAGUUGGAAUACAGUAGGUUUAAAACCAAUAUAAAUAAAUAAUGAGUUCAUUACAGUACCUAAAGGUAGUGAUUUGCCCUAGAGGCAAUAAUAAAUGGUUAUUAUUAUAUUUCUUUGUUCAUGAUAAUUGUCUAUUGUUCAUGCUAUAAUUGUGUUAUCCGGAAAUCGUAAUACAUGUGUGAAUACAUAGACCACAACGUGUCCCUAGUAAGCCUCUAGUUGACUAGCUCGUUGAUCAACAGAUAGUCAUGGUUUCCUGACUAUGGACAUUGGAUGUCAUUGAUAACGGGAUCACAUCAUUAGGAGAAUGAUGUGAUGGACAAGACCCAAUCCUAAGCAUAGCAUAAAAGAUCGUGUAGUUUCGUUUGCUAGAGCUUUUCCAAUGUCAAGUAUCUUUUCCUUAGACCAUGAGAUCGUGCAACUCCCGGAUACCGUAGGAGUGCUUUGGGUGCACCAAACGUCACAACGUAACUGGGUGACUAUAAAGGUACACUACGGGUAUCUCUGAAAGUGUCUGUUGGGUUGGCACGGAUCGAGACUGGGAUUUGUCACUCCGUGUGACGGAGAGGUAUCUCUGGGCCCACUCGGUAAUGCAUCAUCAUAAUGAGGUCAAUGUGACUAAGGCGUUAGUCACGGGAUCAUGCAUUGCGGUACGAGUAAAGAGACUUGCCGGUAACGAGAUUGAACAAGGUAUUGGGAUACCGACGAUCGAAUCUCGGGCAAGUAACAUACCGAUUGACAAAGGGAAUUGUAUACGGGAUUGAUUGAAUCCUCGACAUCGUGGUUCAUCCGAUGAGAUCAUCGUGGAACAUGUGGGAGCCAACAUGGGUAUCCAGAUCCCGCUGUUGGUUAUUGACCGGAGAGGCGUCUCGGUCAUGUCUGCAUGUCUCCCGAACCCGUAGGGUCUACACACUUAAGGUUCGGUGACGCUAGGGUUGUAGAGAUGUGUGUAUGCGGAAACCCGAAAGUUGUUCGGAGUCCCGGAUGAGAUCCCAGACGUCACGAGGAGCUCCGGAAUGGUCCGGAGGUGAAGAAUUAUAUAUAGGAAGUCAUGUUUCGGCCACCGGGAAAGUUUCGGGGGUUACCGGGACCACCGGAAGGGUCCCGGGGGUCCACCGGGUGGGGCCACCUAUCCCGGAGGGCCCCGUGGGCUGAAGUGGGAAGGGAACCAGCCCCUAGUGGGCUGGGCGCCCCCCCCCCAUGGGCCUCCCCCCUGCGCCUAGGGUUGGAAACCCUAGGGUGGGGGGGCGCCCCACUUGCCUUGGGGGCAAGCCACCCCCCUUGGCCNNNNNNNNNNNNNNNNNNNNNNNNNNNNNNNNNNNNNNNNNNNNNNNNNNNNNNNNNNNNNNNNNNNNNNNNNNNNNNNNNNNNNNNNNNNNNNNNNNNNNNNNNNNNNNNNNNNNNNNNNNNNNNNNNNGGAUCUUGGCCGGCGCCCCCCCCCUCCCAGGGGGCCUGUAUAAGGGGGGAGGGAGGGCAGCAUUAAUACAGCCUUGGGCGCCUCCCUCCUCCCCUGCUACACCUCUCCCUCUCGCAGACGCUCGGCGAAGCCCUGCCGAGAUCCCGCUACAUCCACCACCACGCCGUCGUGCUGCUGGAUCUCCAUCAACCUCUCCUUCCCCCUUGCUGGAUCAAGAAGGAGGAGACGUCGCUGCACCGUACGUGUGUUGAACGCGGAGGUGCCGUCCGUUCGGCACUCGGUCAUCGGUGAUUUGAAUCACGGCGAGUACGACUCCGUCAUCCACGUUCAUUGGAACGCUUCCGCUCGCGAUCUACAAGGGUAUGUAGAUGCACUCCUUUCCCCUCGUUGCUAGUAUACUCCAUAGAUGGAUCUUGGUGAGUGUAGGAAAAUUUUAAAAUUACGCUAUGAUUCCCAAUAGUGGCAUCAUGAGCCAGGCCUAUGCGUAGUUACUAUGCACGAGUAGAACACAAAGUAGUUGUGGGCGUUGAUGUUGCCAAUUCUUCUUGCCGCUACUAGUCUUAUCUUGUUUCGGCGGUAUUGUAGGAUGAAGCGGCCCAUACCGACCUUACACAUACGCUUACGUGAGACAGGUUCCACCGACUGACAUGCACUAGUUGCAUAAGGUGGCUAGCACGUGUCUGUCUCUCCUACUUUAGUCGGAACGGAUUCGAUGAAAAGGGUCCUUAUGAAGGGUAAAUAGAAAUUGGCAAAUCACGUUGUGGUCAUACGUAGGUAAGAAACGUUCUUGCUAGAAACCUACAAACCACGUAAAAACUUGCAACAACAAUUAGAGGACGUCUAACUUGUUUUUGCAGCAUGUGCUAUGUGAUGUGAUAUGGCCAGAAGAUGUGAUGAAUGAUAUAUGUGAUGUAUGAGACUGAUCAUAUUCUUGUAAUAGGAAUCACGACUUGCAUGUCGAUGAGUAUGACAACCGGCAGGAGCCAUAGGAGUUGUCUUUAUUAUUUUGUAUGACCUGCGUGUCAUUGAAUAACGCCAUGUAAAUUACUUUACUUUAUUGCUAAACGCGUUAGCCAUAGAAGUAGAAGUAACCGUUGGCAUGACAACUUCAUGAAGACACAAUGAUGGAGAUCAUGAUGAUGGAGAUCGUGGUGUCAUGCCGGUGACGAAGAUGAUCAUGGUGCCCCGAAGAUGGAGAUCAAAGGAGCAAAAUGAUAUUGGCCAUAUCAUGUCACUAUUUGAUUGCAUGUGAUGUUUAUCAUGUUUCUGCAUCUUAUUUGCUUAGAACGACGGUAGUAAGUAAGAUGAUCCCUUAUGAUAAUUUCAAGAAAGUGUUCCCCCUAACUGUGCACCGUUGCGAAGGUUCGUUGUUUCGAAGCACCACGUGAUGAUCAGGUGUGAUAGAUUCUAACGUUCGCAUACAACGGGUGUUGACGAGCCUAGCAUGUACAGACAUGGCCUCAGAACACACGCAAUACACUUAGGUUGACUUGACGAGCCUAGCAUGUACAGACAUGGCCUCGGAACACGGAGGACCGAAAGGUCGAGCAUGAGUCGUAUAGAAGAUACGAUCAACAUGGAGAUGUUCACCGAUCUUGACUAGUCCGUCUCACGUGAUGAUCGGACACGGCCUAGUUAACUCGGAUCAUGUUUCACUUAGAUGACUAGAGGGAUGUCUAUCUGAGUGGGAGUUCAUUAAAUAAUUUGAUUAUAUGAACUUAAUUAUCAUGAACUUAGUCUAAAAUCUUUACACUAUGUCUUGUAGAUCAAAUGGCCCACGUUGUCCUCAAUUUCAACGCGUUCCUAGAGAAAACCAAGCUGAAAGAUGAUGGCAGUAACUAUACGGACUGGGUCCGGAACCUGAGGAUCAUCCUCAUAGCUGCCAAGAAAGAUUAUGUCUUAGAAGCACCGCUAGGUGAAGCACCAAUCCCAGAGAACCAAGACGUUAUGAACGCUUGGCAAUCACGUGCAGAUGAUUACUCCCUCGUUCAGUGCGGCAUGCUUUACAGCUUAGAACCGGGUCUCCAAAAGCGUUUUGAGAAACAUGGAGCAUAUGAGAUGUUCGAGGAGCUGAAAAUGGUUUUCCAAGCUCAUGCCCGGGUCGAGAGAUAUGAAGUCUCCGACAAGUUCUUCAGCUGUAAAAUGGAGGAGAAUAGUUCUGUUAGUGAGCACAUACUCAGAAUGUCUGGCUUGCACAACCGCUUGUCUCAGCUGGGAGUUAAUCUCCCGGAUGACGCGGUCAUUGACAGAAUCCUUCAGUCGCUUCCACCAAGCUACAAGAGCUUUGUGAUGAACUUCAAUAUGCAAGGGAUGGAAAAGACCAUUCCUGAGGUAUAUUCAAUAGGGCUUGAGAGAAUAUUGAUCUUACUUUUAGCUCCUUGUGGGUUCGACACUCCAUACUUAUCACUUCCACCUUUGGAAAUUGCUACGAUGAUUCCCUGCACUUGGGGAUUAUCAAGCUCUUUUCUGGCGCCGUUGCCGGGGAGCAAUAGCGUGGGGUUGAUAUUCUCGUGUGUGCUUGUUUGCUUUCUUCACUAAGUAGAUUUCAUUUUCCUUUUUGUUUCUGUUUAGUUGUGGGUGAAACAUAGAAAAAAAAUAAAGAAUGAAAAUACCAAAAAAAUUACUUGCCUCUCAUGCCUAAAAAGUUUUUCAAAGAGAGAAGUGAUUGGAAAGUUAUGCAUUGAAGAAGUGAGGGUCGACCUUGAGCACUUGUGUUCAUGCUCACGGAAACAAUGUAGAAUUUUUCAUGGAACUUUCUCUGUAAAUAAUUAUCCCCUUGUAUAUAUCCAUUGUAUUAUAAAAAUAAUGUGCCAAGAUUUGGUUUUAGGAUGAUUAGAUUGCUUGUUUACUAUGUGCAGAACAAAAACAGAAACUUUGGCUGUAGUGCAUGAAUUUACAUUUUUUACUGGAAGGUCAAAUGGGUGUGGAAAUUUUUGCACAUUACUUCUGUACAAAAUUUUCAAAUUUUCAAAUUUAUUUCAUAAUUUUAGGAGUUACAGAAGUUUACCAAACUUCCAGAUUACUUCAGACUGUUCUGUUUUUAACAGAUUCUGUUUUGCGUGUGUUGUUUGCUUAUUUCGAUGAAUCUAUGGCUAGUAUCGGGGGGUAUGAACCAUAGAGAAGUUGGAAUACAGUAGGUUUAAAACCAAUAUAAAUAAAUAAUGAGUUCAUUACAGUACCUAAAGGUAGUGAUUUGCCCUAGAGGCAAUAAUAAAUGGUUAUUAUUAUAUUUCUUUGUUCAUGAUAAUUGUCUAUUGUUCAUGCUAUAAUUGUGUUAUCCGGAAAUCGUAAUACAUGUGUGAAUACAUAGACCACAACGUGUCCCUAGUAAGCCUCUAGUUGACUAGCUCGUUGAUCAACAGAUAGUCAUGGUUUCCUGACUAUGGACAUUGGAUGUCAUUGAUAACGGGAUCACAUCAUUAGGAGAAUGAUGUGAUGGACAAGACCCAAUCCUAAGCAUAGCAUAAAAGAUCGUGUAGUUUCGUUUGCUAGAGCUUUUCCAAUGUCAAGUAUCUUUUCCUUAGACCAUGAGAUCGUGCAACUCCCGGAUACCGUAGGAGUGCUUUGGGUGCACCAAACGUCACAACGUAACUGGGUGACUAUAAAGGUACACUACGGGUAUCUCUGAAAGUGUCUGUUGGGUUGGCACGGAUCGAGACUGGGAUUUGUCACUCCGUGUGACGGAGAGGUAUCUCUGGGCCCACUCGGUAAUGCAUCAUCAUAAUGAGGUCAAUGUGACUAAGGCGUUAGUCACGGGAUCAUGCAUUGCGGUACGAGUAAAGAGACUUGCCGGUAACGAGAUUGAACAAGGUAUUGGGAUACCGACGAUCGAAUCUCGGGCAAGUAACAUACCGAUUGACAAAGGGAAUUGUAUACGGGAUUGAUUGAAUCCUCGACAUCGUGGUUCAUCCGAUGAGAUCAUCGUGGAACAUGUGGGAGCCAACAUGGGUAUCCAGAUCCCGCUGUUGGUUAUUGACCGGAGAGGCGUCUCGGUCAUGUCUGCAUGUCUCCCGAACCCGUAGGGUCUACACACUUAAGGUUCGGUGAUGCUAGGGUUGUAGAGAUGUGUGUAUGCGGAAACCCGAAAGUUGUUUGGAGUCCCGGAUGAGAUCCCGGACGUCACGAGGAGUUCCGGAAUGGUCCGGAGGUGAAGAAUUAUAUAUAGGAAGUCAAGUUUCGGCCACCGGGAAAGUUUCGGGGGUUACCGGUAUUGUACCGGUAUUCAUGCAUGCAUGGGUUUCAUUGUAAGCAGCAUAAUUUGGAGAUUGUAGUCUCCUUAUCUAUUCUUGAUUAAAAAGAUCUCCUCUAUAUGAGGGAUACCACAAUUUAUAUUGUAAUGGGCAUAUAUUUCACGUGCUUCUUUCAUAAUAUGCCCAAAUUCAUAAGCUAGAAAUAUAGUGGUAACACGCUUAACGUAAGGGUCAUGAAAUAUUAGAGAAUUCUAGAAGGAUCCUUUGUAUGGAAUGAUACAUGUGAACAAAUUGUCUUUCAUGUUCAACUAUAAGCAAAUAUAUUACAUCUGCAAGACUAGAAGUUUUAUUAAGGAUUUACCCUCCUAGCAUAGGUAACAUACUGGAACAAAUAAAGAAAUCAUGAAUAACACCUUUUCCAAUAAUAUUACCGCUACCUACAAAUAAAGAAUGAUGAUUUUAUCUAAAUUAUACUCCUAAGAGAAGGUCUAAAGUACUCUUAUGGUCCCAAGCUCAAAUGAGCUCGGGAUGAACAGUAGCACGGUCGUACAGGAAAAAUCCCCACCCCUGCUAAGGAUGCUAGCGAGGGUCGCCUUGAUUGAGAAAAUCAUCUGCAGAAACACCACCAUACAUCAAUAUCAGCAUACAACAAUAACACGGCCAUACAUCAUGUGGAAGUGAAAUUACCUUCAGUAGAAAGAGAUCAGAGGGAGGGGACACAAGAGAUGGAGCCCAUCGUCUAGAGAUGGACGACGAAGGCUCGAUUUAUCUAGAGGUGGUUGAAACAGCAAAUCCUGGGUCAGCUGUAGGUUGAGUUGUUGAUGGCUGGACACUGAGUUAGGAAUGGUGGAGCUCGGGACCCGGCGCGCGCNNNNNNNNNNNNNNNNNNNNNNNNNNNNNNNNNNNNNNNNNNNNNNNNNNNNNNNNNNNNNNNNNNNNNNNNNNNNNNNNNNNNNNNNNNNNNNNNNNNNNNNNNNNNNNNNNNNNNNNNNNNNNNNNNNNNNNNNNNNNNNNNNNNNNNNNNNNNNNNNNNNNNNNUUUGGAGGCGGCUGAGGAACCGUGAGGCUCGAGGAUCUACGGUGUCUUAGGAGCUCGGGUGUGGCAAUGUAACUUGGGGACUAUGUCAAAGGAUAAUGCACAAUCUGCUCCAUUUUCAUCUCACAAAGUCACAUGAAUCACACUAAUCAUUAAAAAGAUAACAAAAUACAAAAGUAACAUUAAACACAAAGUUCAACAGAUAAUAGUAACAUGUCAUGCGUAAGAGUGAAAAACAGACAAAUGGCCAGAGUAAUGAAAAUAGGCGAAAAACAAACAAAUGAACAGAGUAAUGAAAAGGCUCGUUAAUAACAAGGGUUAACAAAAAAUCCACACACAAAAGUGUCAUAUACAUGUUCACACAGCUCUUUUUAAACAUACCAUUGACAUUUUUUAGAUGCCAUAGAAACAUUUCACGCACCCAAGCAAAGAACCUUCUAUAUUACUCGCAUGAUUCAUGAUUGUUUUCCCAAUGUGAAACAACUUGCGACGACAUUGACAAUGGCCAUACAGUUCUUAUCCUUACCCAUCCUUAUAUUUUUCACUCCACAGGCUGUACAACGCAUAUACCUUCCAUUUCUUAAACUUCAAGUUUCUAAUCAAAAUUUGCCAAAUUGAACAUUUUAGUCUAUGGAGUGAUGAAAAUGAAUAUGGCCAAUACCCGAUGCUAAAUUGUUGAUCCACACAUGAUGAAUGGGCUUACAACCAAAAAUAAAAUGUGAUUAACUAGAACAACAAACAAUGUUAUACAUAUAAGCAGAUUCGUCUCAGUGAAAAAUCAAUUGGCUGCAAGAUAAGAGUGGAAUUUUUUGUACAAAUGAUGCACAAAGACAAUCAUCAAGUGGUAACAAAAAAUCCCUGCUCUCUGAUUGGCCGAUUAGACCCUCCCACGGAUCGUGCCCCCAAACUGAUCUCCGCCGCCCGCUCCACACAGAUCCAACGGCUGGCGCACCGCAUCACGCGGAUCGCCCCCCCCGCCAGCGACGCUCCCGCCUCCCAAUAAAACCCCCGCCCUCGCCGCCGUCCAAACACACAAGCUCGGAGCAUUCCGAUCCAGACCAGCCGCCCCCGCAUCUCGAGUAGUUUCCAGCUCGCCGGAGAAGCAGCAAGCAGGAUGGCCGGAAGGAAGGGCGGCGACAGGAAGAAGUCGGUGACCAGGUCCGUCAAGGCUGGGCUCCAGUUCCCCGUCGGCCGCAUCGGGCGCUACCUCAAGAAGGGCCGCUACGCGCAGCGCGUCGGCUCUGGCGCCCCCGUCUACCUCGCCGCCGUCCUCGAGUACCUCGCCGCCGAGGUACGCACAGAUCUCUCCCCUCCCCGAGCACCUCUUCUUCUCUGUUCUUCUUGUGUUCGACGGAUAACUGACAGAUUUCGUUUUUGAAUCGCAGGUGUUGGAGCUGGCCGGCAACGCUGCCAAGGACAACAAGAAGACCCGCAUCAUCCCGCGCCACCUGCUGCUCGCCGUCCGCAACGACCAGGAGCUCGGCAGGCUGCUCGCCGGCGUCACCAUCGCCCACGGCGGCGUGAUCCCCAACAUCAACUCCGUGCUUCUCCCCAAGAAGUCCCCCGCCGCCGCCGAGAAGGAGGCCAAGUCGCCCAAGAAGAAGACCACCACCAAGUCCCCCAAGAAGAAGGUCGCCACCAAGGAGUAGAAUUCCGCAUAGCAUAGCCAUUGUUGCUUAGAUCCAUUUCUCAUGGACAAGAUGAGCAGUCUUUUGGUUAGUUAGACGAGUAGUGGUUCUGUCCUUAGAUUCGCUGAGCAAGGGUGACAUUGUGUCUGUGAUUUCUGUAGGAAUGGCUAAAUAUGCAAUCGUUCAGAUCUUGAUUCUCUUGUUCUAUCAGUGGAUGCAAUUGAUCUUGUUAAUCCUCGCUACCUAUGCUGUUUUGUACCAAAUUCUCACUUCUAUCAUCUGAAAAAUUCCCCAAUUCCUUGCUCUCUAAAUUAUGGCGCUCAAUUUCAAACACUGAUUGUAAAUUCCUUAUGAAGAUCCACACAAUCAUAUUACUAUUGAGCUGCAAAGAAAAAUUUGCACCUGAUGACCAGCUUUCUGUCAGUCAGCAUCACCAUCUUAGACUUGCUCAAGCAUGUACCAGCGAACCACAAAAGCCAUGCCAAGACAUUCCGGCAGUUAAUUUCAGCUUGAUCUUUCCCUCAGUAGUUGAGUUCUUUACAUGUUGUAUUCACAGCCCAAACAAAUUCUUCCGGUUGGAGUUGAGCCGGCCGUAUGCAAAGUGAAGUUUGGGGAGUCAGGUGUACGUAACAAACCACAAACCAGAUUUAUGAUUUAUGAGCCACUAGCCAGAUAAGGUACUAAUUUAGAUUGACCUAAAGAGAAACAAACAUUGAGAAAUUAAGAUAGCAACCAUGCUCAUGUAAGAAAACUGAUAUAGCGAUGUUUCACUUCGUUCCAUCAACAAAAAUAUAUUUUCUGAAAGUAAAAUUGGUAACCACCAUGGAAAUACAACAGGUACAAAUCUCAGUAAAAAACACUUGGAAUUGAACACAUCGAUUCUAUUACAACCGAUUCUUCGCUAAAUCACUUGCAACCAAAACUAGUACCGAGUCCGGGGAAGGUCUUGUGCUAAGGAUAUAGUUUUUGUGUACGCUUCUCUUGUUUUUCAUGCUGUUUUCGUGGAUUUAUAUGGUUUUUCCACUAUAUUUUUCUGUUUGUUACAUUUUUCUUUUGCUGAAUUCUUUAUUGUUUCAUUUUUUAUUUUUCCUCUGUUGUCUCUAUUUAUUUUUCCCAUUGUCGUCUUUUGAAGUUUUCCUUUUUACUUUUUCGUCGACUUUCUCAUAUCUUGUUUUUGUUUUGUCUCAGAUUUUUAGUACUUUUUAGAAAUAUUAAAAUGUUUUCCAAACACAUAAUUUUUUAAAAUGGCACAUACAUGUUUUGUAAAAUAGGUGAAUACUUCAUGACAAAACUUUUCAAAUAACCCGUCACUUUUAAAACAUAAUUAUUUUUUCAACACAGCAACACUUUUAAUAACUACAUGAAUAACUUCUAAGAAUUAUAAGAACAUUUAUUCAAUUUUGUGAACACUUCUAGAAAUUAAGAACAUUUAUUUUAAACAUGGAAAUCUUUUUAGAAUUACAUUAGCACAUAAAACAACUGAACAUAAAUCACAAGAACACUUUUUUAAUCUAUUUGGAUAUUUUUUAAUGUAUAAAUUUAUUUCAACUUUGCAGGAGCACUUUUUAAAAAUAUGUGAACACUUUCUUGUAACUUCAUGAACAUAUUUCAGAAUGGAGCAAAUAAUUUUUAAAAUGAUACUAUAUAAAAUACAUGAAACGUUUAUCUGGUUACUUUAACAAUAGUAAGAAAUGCAUGACUAUUAAUCAAAAAACUUGAUUUUUUAAUAUCUGCAUGAUCAUUUUUUUAAACAUACAAAUAUGUUUUGAAAGCCAUGAACAUUAUCAGAUACAUUUUAUAAAAUUACAUAAAAAGUUUAUCUGUGUGAAAAAACUUGUAGCACACAGAUUUUUAUUUUUUACUUAUUUAAUUUACAUUGUACUUAUAAAAGCGACAAAAAACAUAAAACAAUUGAGGUGAAGAGACUCACUCACGCUCGGCCACUCGCAUCUGGUACUCAGAUUUUUCUCGAUGUUUGGACUCAGCUACUCCCUCCAUUCCAUUUCUUGUCGUAGUUUUAGUUCAAAUUUACUGCUUACCAGUUAACUAUACCUUUGCGUUGCAUACAUGGGCUAGUACAAAAUAGAACAUACGCUCGCGGCGCGUGUUUUGAACACUAUACCACCAUUGGCGCCUGCUUGUAAUUACGAUGCUCAGUUGGACGGUGCCCCAAUAGGGAUUGCUCGCUCGCUCUGCCCAAUGUAACAGUGCCAUUCGCAAAGGCUAUAUCUCUGUUACUGUUUCUCGCAAAAAAUACAUUUCUUUUUUAUUGCAAUGAAAAGGGAGUUUUAUUCCAUAUUUAUUGGGUUACAAUCAAAGAGGCAAUAAUUCCUCAAUACAUGGAGGUGUGUGACCUAGUCACACCUCGGUGGCAUGUUCCGAACGACUAUAUACAACCAGUCGAUCUGUUGCACUAUUUUGAUCUCGUCUAAGUUUCUGAGGAUGUAGCAUGUACUCACCUCUGGCGGCGCUUGGGGUGCUCACAUCUUAGUGGGCCAGUCCAUUGAACCCAUUUUGGGGCGGUUCUCAGAAUUGGGUUUUAGAACCUUCCUUGCAGUUUUUUAUUUUUGUUUUUCUAUGUAUCAAAUACUGUACAUGAACAACAUUUUUCAAAUACAUGUUAUGAAAACAGGUUAAAUAUUUUUCAAACACAUGUUGACUAUUUUUUUGAAUGGUAUGAAACAUUUCUUAAAAAAUACAUGAAGAAUUUUCGUACAAUAUAUAAACAUUUUCUGAAAUAUAGGUUUGAAUGUUCUUAUGACUACAUUAAAACUUUUUGCAAAUUCAUGGGAAUUUUUCCAAUGAUACGAAACAAAAAAUUUAAACUAUGUGAUCAUUUUUAUUCAUUGUAUAACCAUUUCUUAAAAUUAUCAUAAACUUAUUUCUGAAAUAUGUGAACAGUUUUUUAAAUUUCACAAUUUCUUUAGAAUGGAACGACUUUUUAAAAGAUACACAUAUAUUUUUUCCAUUGUUCAAACAUUUAAAAAAAUGGUAAGUACAUUUUUUUGAAACACACAAACAAUUUGAAAUUGUCACGACCAUCUUAUUGAAUAAUAUAACAUUUUUUAAAAAUCAUGCAAACAAAUGUUUUAUAUUGUGUUAGCAUUUUCUAAAUGCUAGAGCGGUAUUUAAAAAAAUUCAAGUUAGUUAAUUGUUGAAUAUAUAUAUAUAUAUUACUAUGUUUUCAAAAUCAUAAAAAGGUAAAAAAGAAGAUGGAAAAAAACAAUGAAACAAAUGAAACUAACGAACCUAACACUAUUGGGUCAGCCCACCAUACGUCGUGCUUAAGGCGAGGUGUUGUUGGUCUUGUAGAAGCGAGAGAAAGCAUCACACUGCCCAAUAUAGAGCAUCUUCAACUGCUAACAAGGAUUAUAUAGCGCUUAUUGCGAGAAGUUCCGAAUAAGUAGGGUCAAUAGUUCAGCAUUUAGGCCGUAACAUUUAGCAAAAAAGGAAUCUUAGACCCAACAAGUGCUCUCCGAACCUCACCAACCAACCUGGAUUUUGAUUCUUUCUUGUUAUUCUAACCGGAUAUAAAAACCAUAAGGAUUGUUUCCAGCCGAGAGUACCCAUAUGACAUAAGCGCUCUUAGGUGGGGUGGGCCCUCAUUCUCCAGGUCUUUGAGUGCCCGGCAUACCACGUGGUUGGUACACUAGGCGAAUAGAUACUUACUUUAAGGAUUUGGCACCUUCGCUAGAUGGAGAGUAAGCGACUUCUAUUAGCACAGGACCAUCGAGUCAAAUUUCUCGUGUCAUGUGCUUAGCCUCACCACUAGCGAAGUAGCCGACUCAUUAAACCACUUUUAGGGACGGGAAUACAUAGAAAAGAAAGAAACAAACCAAACCAAACGAAUAAACGAACAAACUUACAACUGGGUCAGCCCACUAGGGAGCGAGAUAUAGCCUUUGUCCCUGACGGGACCUCCUAUUUCACCGGAGGCAACACGCACCAUGUGUGUGUUGAUGGGCCGGCUCAUUAGCAUUAUACUGUAGCAAGCCGGAAAGCAAUCGAGUUUUCUUGCUGAUGUAUUGUAGCGAACCAAUGAACUGUAGAAAACCAGUGUACUGUAUGUAGCGAGCCAAUUUAUAUCAGCAACAGAUGCACUAUAUCGACCGAGAUAAUGUAGCAAGCAUUUUUAAAAUUUUGAGAACAUUUUAUUGAAACUGUGAACAAUUUUUGAAAACACAAACAACUUUUAAAACGCUGAACAAUUUUUGAAAGAUUUGAUAGUUUUCUUUUUUAAAGGAUUUUUAGCAAUUCCAUCCAUUAAAAAAAUUAAUUACAAAACUUUUAAAAGAAUAUGAACAUUUUUCUCAAAAUUUGAACAUUUUUUAAGUUCCAAUUUUUUAACGGUAUGAUUUUUAAAAGAAAUUCUAAACAUUGUAUUAAAUAACAAGGAUGGAUUGUCAUCUAGCUACUGCCAUGUACCCAUAGUCCAAAGAAAACUACUCAUGUGAAAUUAUGGUAGUAGCAAGGUUUAUGUUGAUGGCCGCCGUGAUGAAUUCCCUCAUGGAGAGUAUGGGAAAAUGCAUAUAGAUUGGAUCACAGCGGGACAUAGAGGUGUGGCUGUGAAUUGUUUGCCUCUAUAUAAAAUCGGUGUUUUUUCGCAAUUAUAAAGGUGGAGGUGCCGAGAGGUGGUGGAGCGGAGUCCCAUGGGGCCUACGCAGACACCCCUCGCAUCGUGGAGCCCAUAGGACUCUCCAAGCGGGGCUAGGUGCCUCUGGAAGCUUCUAGACUUGAAUCAUUUUUGGGAAUUCCCCCCCUUUCUGAGCUUGUGAAAAUUGAUUUUACUUAAAAGCCCAAAACUACAAAAAACGACAUAUUGCCCUUGGACCGAAUUAAUAGGUUAGUUCAAAAAAAAAAUUGGUGCUAAAACUAUGGAAAUAACGUAAUUUUAUUAUGAAACAAGCAAAAAUUAUGCACACUUCUAAGACAUAUGAAAAGCACUCGAGUGUAAAUACCAAGAAUUCGCGACAAAAUCAGGGAACCUCGGGAUGGCUGUGAGUACAGAUGGACUAAAUUCGUUUGUGAACUAGCACAUCACAUACCACAUGGCGUGUGUUUGUAUGGUUAUACAACCCCAUGGCUCUAUGUAAAGCGGAAGUAUAUAUACACAUGGUUAUGCUAAUUCAAGGGCCGACACAACCGAGGAAUAAUAUUAACUUGUAUCUCCAGCUAUUGAAGGAUGAUGUACACAUCAUGAGCUGCUCGAGGGGUCAAUACCUGGGAUGCCUACGAAGGGGAUCAUUUCCCUAUAAGAGUUGCAUUGAUCACGAUGGUGCAAUGCUAUCUUGGUUAUGUAUAUGUCUCCUGCAAGUAUGCCAUGGACACUGCAAAUGUGUUUACGUGCAUGGAUGAUACAACUUUUGACGAGACAUCAAAAGCUAGCUCUUGCAAAAUUGUUUUCAUGGGGCAUUGAAGGUGGCUUCAGAAGGAUGAAGUGGAUAACUCGCAAAGAUCUGUUCGACAGUAAAACUCAAGACCGAUUAAAGUCACGUACAAGAAGCAGAGAAAAAAAUCCGCCACAUGUUGAACGACGGAACUAGUGCCUUAAGUUAGGAUAGAAGCGAAAGGCCCCAGAGAAGUCAUUGUUAACAGUAUGAAAAAGGGAGUCUGCUUUUUGGGGCUUGUCGUAUUGGAUAGUCCUCGAUGCACCUCGUUGCCUUGAUGUCAUGCAGCUCACAAUGAAUGUCUGCGAGAGUUUGCUCGGCACAUAGUUUGACAUGUCGAAAAAAGAAAAAAAUGGAUUGAAGGCAAGAUAAGACUUGGAAGACCUCGGUAUUAGGGCUGAGUUGCAUGCAUAUCAUGAGUAGAGGAAACAGUCACGUGCAAAAAUAUUUCCAAAAUUCAAGGAUGACAACUCCCUCCCCCUCCCCCCCCCACACACACUCACUUUACUCUAGAUGAGAAGGAGCCCAGUCAAGUUUUCAAUUGUCUUCAAGGUAUCAAAGUUGGUUCCACUUACUUAGGUAGUAUAUGCAGAUAUGUGCGGUUAAUGGACAAAUGUUCAGCGGGAUGAAGUCUCAUGAUUGUCGCGAUCAUGACACAAAUACUUCCGUUUGCUGUUAGAGGCGUAACAGAUAAGCGCGUCCGCAAAACACUUCUUGUCCUAUGUAAUUUUUUCGAUAUUAUCUCUCCAAAGUCGAUCAACUUAGAAGUGCAAGGCUACACGAGGAAAACAUUAUCAUAUUACGUGAGCUUGAGAACUACUUCCCACCCGCACUCUUUGAUGUUAUGGUUAUAAUCCCCAAGUGCAAAGACUAUUGCAACACUUGCCAAAGUGGAGGUGGUACAUAUGAAGUGUCAAUAUCACAGAGGAGCUAAAGGUAGGAAUCAUAUUCUCUCAAGUUCUAUCUGACACUCACAUAAUCCUACAUGUAUUAAAUGUUGUUUUACCUGGACUUUCUACUAAAGAUACUCCCUCUGUUCCUAAAUAUAAGUCUUUUUAGAGAUUUCAAUGCGGACUACAUACAUAGCAAAAUGAGUGAAUCUACACUAUAAAAUAUGUCUAUAUACAUCCGCAUGUAGUCUUUGUUAAAAUAUCUAAAAAGACUUAUAUUUAGAAACGGAGGGAGUAGUUUGCAAGUUUCUGAGAGGGCGAAUGUGGGGUAGUGGUGGAAGGUGUUGCAAAAUUGUUGCUCACCAAUUGUCUAUGAUACCGGAUCGAUAAUCAUACAUUUUCCAGUUUCAUACGUAGGAGAGGCCUAUGCUAACAUGCAGUAACAUCCAUUGACAUCAUGUUCUUAUUGAUAAACCUUAGCAAGCAUCCGCAAGUACGAAGAAUUUAUUAAGUUAAAGCCCAACCAUAAGAUCUAUGGGUCCCGUGUAUCCCAUAUGCAUGAACUCUUAUACUCACGUGAAAGUGAUAGCAUUGCUUUCUCGAUGCUAAAAAAAUGUUUAAGUCUUUACCCUAAAAAUUUGCAGAUAGCAUUUUGGUGUGACAAUGAACACAUCUAUUUUUUUUUACAUUUGCAAAAUACAUUUUGUGUGCGCAUGAGCGUACGCUCACUAGAGCCAAAUUGGAUUUCUGUGCAAAAAACAUGCAUAUAUAUGGCGCAGAAAGUGAAUCAAGUGCUAAAACAAAAUCUCUGCGCUCUGAUUGGUCGGUAGGACCGUCCCACGGAUCGCGCCCCCCAUACUAAUCUCCACCGUCCACUACGCCAAGAUCCAACGGCGAGCGCAGCAUGUCACGCGGAUCGCUCCCACCUCUGCUUCCCGAUAAAACCCGCGCCCACGCCGCCGUUCCAACUCACAAACUCAGAGCAUUCCGAUCCAGCACAACCGCCGCCAACACAACACCUCGAGAGUCCUCGCCGCCGGAGAAGUCGCAAGCAAGAUGGCCGGAAGGAAGGGCGGCGACAGGAAGAAGGCGGUGACCCGCUCCGUCAAGGCCGGGCUCCAGUUCCCCGUCGGCCGCAUCGGGCGUUACCUCAAGAAGGGCCGCUACGCCCAGCGCGUCGGCUCCGGCGCCCCCGUUUACCUCGCCGCCGUCCUCGAGUACCUCGCCGCGGAGGUAUGCACAGAUCUUUCCUCUCCCCGAGCACCUGCUCUGCUCUGUUCUUCUCGUUUUCGAUGGAUUGCUGACUUCGUUUCUGAUGGUCUUUUAAAAUC